rnacentral:lncRNA from 1 species
GUAAGCACCUCAAGUUUACCUGUACGUAGUUUCUUUGAGUUGAAGAACUUGUCUUAUGGUUUCUCCCAAUAACCACAACUUAUAUGGAAAGCAUUCAGUGAGAGGAAAGUCUCGGGGUGAGUGAGGUCAACUUAUAAUUAGAUAUUAUUUCAUAUUAUUGAAGUGAAGUGAGUCAACAUCCUAUACAUUUCUUCAUGACUCUGUAAGUGCAACUCUUUUUUGUUUUCUAGAUUUUUUUUUGUUGUUUGGUUUUAAGGUGAGACGGCAUGCAGUAAAUCCUCAUGGUUUGAUAUUUUUUCGUAUUUCGUACAUAACAAGAGUUUUUAUAUAUCGAGGUGCCCCAGUUUUGAUUUUUAGUGUUCAAAUCUAUUUGAUCUUGUACUGAUUCUACUCUUAUCUAAAUUUCAAAAUUCCUCGUUUCUGACAAUUUGAAUUUUGUUGUUAUGGAUGAUUGAACCUCGGAUUGUGUAAAUGCACGCUUUCAGUAUGUAUUAGUAAUUGAUAUGUAUAUUAUCGGAAGAAUUAAUUUAAAUAGAUGUUCACUCAAUCGCUUAAACUAAAAAUAGUAAUGCAGAUGUAUAAUAGAGAAGUGCAAGUCAAAUAUAAGUAUGUGUGAAACCAAGAUGUAUAAUAGAAGUGUAAGUAAUAUAUAAGUAUGUGUGUAACCACGCACCCAAGGGUGUAACCUAGUUGGUCAAUGAAGUGGAUUGUAAACUUGAGGUUUAUAUUCAAAUUCAAGCAAAGAUAAAAAAAACUCAUAUGUGUCCUAGCUUUGCUGGACAGAGCUACCUAGAUAUCUUGUAGAUUAGGUCAAGGUGCGAAAAACUCCGAUAUCAUGGUUAUCAAGAAAAGAAGUGUAUGAUCAUAUUUAAUUAGUGUAUAGUUUAUGUACUACAGCAUAUUUGUUUCCUGUUCUUCUGUCUCUUCUGUAUGUUUACUUGUUAGUUGUUAUGGUGAAGUCAAAAUAUUUUUGCUAAAAAUGUUUAACAUUUAGUAAUUAUAUAUGUAAAGUAAUUUUUGAAUUAUAUAUACACAAGUAUAAUUUUCUUUAAAUACGAUGUGAUUUUCUUGUAAAGGUUGUUCAAUUUCAGUGUAUUGGCCAUGCAUUGUUGGUAGCCAUUCAGUGGAUACUAAAUUGUAUAAUAUUCAACAAUUCCUCGAUGAGGAAAGGUAUCCGUCCGCCCAUCGUUUUACUAGCCAACUAUAUAUUUUAAUUAUUUUAAGUCAUAUCUCGUCACAGGUUGCCUUCUCAGUAUCGUGGCUCACACCAAAAUCGUGUUUUAUCCAUGGAUAUCCAGUAAAGUUCAAUAGUAUCACACAUGAUACUAGCCACGUAUCUCUAAAUAUAUAUAAAGGGUAUGAAUUCAUUGCAGUAUAUUGCUCUUCAAUUUUUUUUAAAAAAACUUUAAUUUGAAGAAUUCAGUCAAAAGGAGGGAAAAAACUGUUAGGCUCGCCAAGGCCAAGCUUCGGACAUUUUUUUUUUUUCUUGAAGUUUAAUUUUUAUGCACGUCGCUAGCAUCACUUACCAGAAAUCCAAAAUGUUCCUAAUUGUCCAGACGUAAGUUAAAAACAAUCUCCAAAGAAAUAAAGAGGGGCAUUUGCACAAAUAACCUUUUUCAAGACAACCAUUUAUGCGUUGUUUCCCCUUAGCCCAGUAAGAUAAUAAAUAUGUUUGUAAUUAAUGGAAAAUUCAUCCAAGGCGAAAAUAAAAUGUGUCCUCAAUCCAAAGAAUACUGCAAAGAAUGAUAUGAUAGAGCAAAUUUCAAAGAGUGAAUGGUAGUAACUCAUAGCAUAAGAAUUUCAAACUAUGUGAAGCAGUUGUAGCAUAUAGUGUGUAGAGUAUUCCUCAAGAAUGAGUUUAAUUCUCAAAAAUAAAGGCAUAAGCCCAUAUAACUCCCCUCUCGAGUCGUAUAUGUCAAGUACAGAAAUCAAUUAAUCAUCAUCCAAUAGAAACAAGUAAUAAGAUCAUGUGACAUGCAACAAUAACACUGAAUAUAUAGAACUGCGAAGCAAACAGAUGAAUAAUUAGGUUUAUUGAAACUGCACGUAUUAGCUAUUUCUGGAAACACCUUGACUUUAUGAUAAUUUUGCAGGUUAUUCCCUUGGAGCCUCUACAAGGAACUAUUUGACAAAUACAAGGAUAAUCACAAGAGGAAAUUCAGGGUCACUCUCUGUGGUGGAAGGUCAGACAUUUCAUUCACUUUUCUAUUUUUCUUCAUCCCAGCUAUCUGCAAUAUGGGCAUAAUGCAUAUUGUUUGUUAGAAAAAAACAUGGAAGAGGUCUAAUUUGUCAUAGCAGAAUCUAAGAAAACUUUGGUGAGGUAACACUUUACAUUGUCCUCCAGAAGUUUGUUUUCCUCUCGCAGCAGUUUUUCCUGCAAUAAUUAAGGGAUAUUGAUAAUGUGCAGUCUGAUGGAAAAUUUCACAUGAUAUAAUUCAUCCUUAAACAAUAAAAGAUAUAUGAUGACAGCUGUUGAUUACAAAGCUACAUAGUGCUGUAGAAAGCAGGGGAGGGCUAUUAACUUGAAGGAGUGGAGACAAUUAUAUGAGAUUUGAUCAGAGAUGCCUAGAGUAUUAAGUCCAAUAGUCAAUUAAGUCUUAACAUACUUUAUUCUAUCGAGAAACUACGAGGACAAGUGAAUGUUCUGUGCCUCUUUAUACUCCUUUUCCAAAAUAAGCUAAUCUAGUAUAUUAAGCUUACGCAAUUUGUGACUGACAUUAGCAUGCAAGAGCUACUGACUAGUCAGUUGAAAACUAUGUUGCUCGGACCCUCCAAAAAUUUUUGCCGCACUCUUGUUGGAUCCUCCAAAAACGCAUAGCUUUUGAAGGAUCCGGCACACACCAGGCGAUACUUCUGAAGAGUUCAAGCAACAUAGGAUAAAAGAUGCUAGUUUUUCUGAUAUAUGAAGGUUUGAAUAGGCUAAGCCUAAAUCUAACGCACCUUGAUCUGCGCAUCAAAGUUCAGGGCAAAACCAAACUCAUUACUUCAGGAAAAACUAGUAUUCAGGAUGUUGUGUAGUUCAGUAGUUCCUGAAGAUGCAGUAGGAUAGCUUACCAGAAACAAAGCAAUGAAGUGUCAAUGGAAAUGAAAACGUACUUGCUCAUGAAGAUCCUUAACAGAUUCAAGCAGCAAAUGUGUCUGCAUAAAACAAAACUACUUAGAUUUAAUAUGCUUCAUUUUGAGGUACUAACUCAAGCAGAGCCAGAUUAAAAUACUGAAAUUAAACACUAUUCAUAAAUCUUAAAACAAAUGCGAACACUAUUCAAUAAAACAAAUCAGAUGCUUAUAAAAAGAAAAAGCGAAAGUAAACAAAAAAAAAGGUAUAGCUGGAGGAGUUCACUAAUAAUUGUGGUUUCUCGAUAUUUGGAUUAUAAAAUAAACCAUGAAACAUAGCAAUUAGCAUUAGAUCAUAUAGAGUUUUGAGAGAGGUGAAUGAAAACAACAAAUGAGGUACUUACCUAAGGGUUUUCAUGUCUGAAAGCACAUCGACGCUGUGACAGCUUCUAGUAUUAGUAAAGGUAGAGGACUAAGAAGGGAAGCCUGGUCCUUUUUAUGUUUAUUGUAACACAAUGUAAUUCCAAUAAGCAAAGGAACAGAGCAAAGUAAAACACCUUUCUAGAUCUGGUUUGUAUUAGAGUAGUUUGAAGUUCAUUUUCCAAAUGUACAAGGUCAGUCACAGUGAGACCAUCAGCAUUAGUUUCCUCGAAUUGCCUGUUAAGUUAAGACAGAAUCAGUCAUAUAAGCUAUCAGAAUCAGUCAUAUAAGCUCUAAGAAACAAAAGUAAAGAACAAGAUCAGUACCUUUCUGUUGCUUGUAGCAGUUCUCCCAUUGUCAUGAACCUUGAGUAUUUAGACAGCUAUUUCCACCUCAAAAUGAUUAGCAAACUUUCAGCACAAAAAAUAUAAAACUGAUUGUUAAAGAUAAAACUGAAUAACAACCAAAUGAUUACUGUGGAUACAUUGCAACAUACACAAUCAACAAGAAGAUAUUUCUUUGAUAGGUACAUUUUAGUUGAACAGCAGCAUGACUUUGAUGCACUAUGACAAAGAGUAAGUAUUAUUAAUAAUUUGGACCUUCGAGUCUGGGAGGCACGCCAGUGUGCAUAUUUAAUAUAUUUUUGGACUUGUUAAAAAUACAGGAAGUUACAUAUUAACUUAAGAACUUAUUUCAAGUAGAGAGGAUCUGGCUCAUUAGAUUAUAACUUGAUAGCAGUCAACUAAUCAAGUACCUCCGAGACCUGGAUUUCUGGAGAGAUCUCUUUUGCUGCUUCGACGUGCCUUUCGUAUCUUUGAAGUAUCCCUGUCAUACUGGAAAACAUAUUAUCAGAAAUGCUUGCUGGUGGAUAAGUAUAAGGAAAUAUUAUGCGGGAGCAGAUCAAUUUUGUAUAGGUUUUAACUUAAGAGUGUAUCAGAAAACGAACACUAUGUUGAUCACUUUGUUGUUUUAUAAAUAAAUACUAUAAUAUAUUUAUAAUGACAAAAACAUUUUCUUGGUUGCUAGGUUUAUACAUUGUUAUAACAAGUGAUGAUGAUGAAAACAGUACUCAACUUGAGCAGUAUUGUCAGUCACUUCUGAAUCAGAGAUCUAUGAAAAAUAACAUACUUCCUAUGCAUUGAGGAGACAAAAUCUAGCAGUAGAAUUGUCAUUUCCACAAUGGAUCACCAAAAGAAAAAUGGUAUGAUUGAAUUGCAUAUCUGUCGAUACUCAUAAAUGUAAAGAGUUUUUUCCCAACAAUGGGAGCCUUUGAAGUACCCUGGUAGUUCUUAAAGAUCUGUCGACAAACUCAAUUAUUUCACAAUCACACAACCAAACAUCUCACACAUGUUAGUCCAUUUUUUCCAAGUGCCUUGGGGACAAUUAGGAGUGACACAAUUAACUCAUGAAAACCUAACAACCAAUUUGUUAACUUAGCUCAUUAAAAGUUGGAAUAUGUAGCUCAAAUUGACCCAUAAGAAACCUUGUUACAAUAUUUUUAUAAGAAUGUUGUGUUUGAUACGGGUGCGGAUCUAGAGGUUGGAUCCUUGAUCUAAAUUUUAAUUGGGCUGAUAUGUAAUAUUUGUAUAAGAAUGUGGUGUCCGAUACGGGUGCAAAUCUAGAGGUUGGAUCAUUAAUCUAAAUUUUAAUUGGGUUGAUAUGUAACUCAAAUUGACCCAUGAGAAACCUUGUUACAAUAUUUUCUAUAAGAAUGUUGGUGUCUGAUACGGGAAUGGAUCUAGAGGUUGGAUCCUUCAACAACAACAACAUAUUCAGUAUAAUCCUACAAAGUGGGUUCUAGGGAAGAUAGAGUGUACGCAGACCUUACUCCUACCUCAGAGGAUGAUAGGUUUUUUGUGAUACAAGGGAAAAAUAGUCUAAAGUAGUCCAGGAAAAUAAGUAGAUAGUAACAGAGCAAUAAUUACAAUAAAAUAAUAUGAUAGUCGAAAUUAGAUCCUUCAUGAUCUAAAUUUUAAGAUUUGGAGGUACGGGUCAAGGUAUGGGUACAGGUGUAGGGAUGCAACUAAAAAUAAUUUAAAUAUCUAAAAAUAGAAUAAAAUUUAUUCCUAAAUUAUGGUGUUCUAAUUAUCCCAUUCUUUUGCCGUUGUUUUUGUUCUUCUCUGGUAUGCUUUGCAUUGCUUUUCUUAAGAGCUGCUAUGUUUUCUUCACUAUUAUCUUCCUUCUUUGUACUUGGAUUUGUCACACUUGAGUUGCGGAUCAUUCAAAAACAGUCUCUCUACCUCCACGAGAUAGUGGUAAGUGUCAAAUUUGUGCUGAAUGUCUCUCAAUGUUGAGAGUGUUGCCAUUAAAUAGAAAGUAUUCAAAGAUUACAUCUCCCAAAUCUGCCUUUCCUGUCUCUAAAGAUCAACUAUUCUAUCCUUUUGAAUCUACUAUUGUAUCCCUUAUAAUCUGCUAUUCUAUCUCUUUAAUUACUACUCCCUCCGUUUAAAAAAGAAUGACCUACUUUGACUUGACACAAAGUUUAAGAAAAUAGAGAAGACUUUUGAAUCUUGUGACCUUAACUUAAAGUUGUGUCAAAUGUACCAAAAUUUCCUUUAAUCUUGUGGUUCUAAACAUGCCAUGUGGAAAGUUAAAAUUAAAGUAUUGCCAGAAAAGGAAAGGGGUCAUUCUUUUCUAAACGGACUAAAAGGGAAAGUAAGUCAUUCUUUUUUAAACGGAGGGAGUAUAUCAUAUCUCUAUAAUUACAAAUAUACAACAAUAUAUAAUUACAUUAAUAUAUACAAUUUUUUUUUUUUGACUUGCACCGGGUAUCCGAGACUCUUCGAGUCCCGACUAAUCCCGAGGGUGCAGGCCCUCGGCAAAGAGUUUCCCGCAAGUGCACCAUGGGUAAUUCAGGGUUUUCACCCAGUCUGAUGGCCCUCAGAAAUUGUUUGCACCCAGUGGGAAUUAAUAUAUACAAUAUUCACUAUUAAUUCAUGAUCUUUAAGUUGUCUAUCAUGCUAACAUCCCCCCUCAAAUUGAUGUUGAUGGAUCAAUAAACAUCAAUUUACGUACUAGAAACUGAUGACGUUAUCGUGGCAUAGAUUUUAUAAACACAUCAACUAUUUGAAAAUCACUGGACAUGUGUGGAAGAGAAAUAAGUCCCUUUAGCUACAAAAAAACAGUAACUGAACCAACCAGUAACUGAACAACGGGUAUCGGGACAUCCCGCGCUGUCAGAAUCACUAAAAGCAUUAAGACGAAUAAGAGAACCACUAGGAAAGAAUAAUCCAUGAUUAGAUGUUCUUAGGAGAUAUCGAAUGAUGCGACGUACAGCCACCAAAUGGAGAUGACGAGGAGCUUACAUAAAUUGACUAACUUGUUAAACUGCAAAAGAGAUGUCAGGUCGAGUAAUAGUAAGGUAAUUUAAGCUCCAAACUAAUUGCCGAAACAUAGUUGGAUCAGGAAGAAGAUCGCCUUCCUCACGAUAAUACUUUACAUUCAAUUCUAAUGGAGUAUCUACGGAGGAGGAAUCUUGAAGACCAGCCAAAGAAAUCAGAUCCUGAGCAUAUUUCUAUUGGUUUAGAAACACACCCGAAGAAUCCCUAUGAACUUCCACUCCCAAGAAGUAUGUAAGAGUACCAAUAUCUUUCAUAUUAAAAGAAUCCUUAAGCUGUUGUUGCAAGCUAGUGAUUAGUGAAGAAUCAGUUCUUGUAAUAAUAAUAUCUAAAUAUACCAAAAAAACAAUACAACUUGUAGAUGUUCUUCGAAGAAACAAAGAUGAGUCAUAUUUGCCCUGUUCAAAAGAGAAUUGUAGCAAAGUAGAUCGAAAUUUAUAAAACCAAGCUCUGGGGGCUUGUUUUAAUCCAUACAAAGACCUUUUCAACUUGCAUACAUCUGAUGUAGGCGAUGAGAACAAACCUGGUGGACGUAUCAUAUAAAUAUCCUCUUUGAGAUCACCAUGAAGAAAAGCACUUUUGACAUCCAUUUGAUGAAAAGUCCAGUUUUGUGAAUCAGCAAUGGAAAUAAUAGUUCGCACUGUAGUCAUUUUUGCUACCAGUGCAAAAGUCUCCUCAUAGUUCAAACCAUACUCUUGUCUGUUACCAAGAACAACCAACCGAGCUUUGUACCGAUCAAGAGUUCCAUCAGAAUGAAGUUUAAUUGAAUAAACACAUUUACAUCCAACUGGAUGGACAUUUGAAGGACAUGAAAUAAUAUCCCAUGUGUCAUUUUCUUUACGAGCCAAAAGUUCUUCCUACAUGGCUUUCUGCCAACAUUCAUGCUUGGAAGCUUUGUGACUACCAAGUUGGAACAAAAAUGGUGGAUAAAGUAGAUGAAAAGCCAUACCAAUUAGGAGUACGAGAUACUCUGGUAGAUCACCGAGUGGGCUCAAGAGGAGCAGGCCUUGAAGAAUUCUCAGAUUCUAGUUGUGGAGUAGUUUCAGGUUGUAGAUCAAUAUCGGGAGGGGUAAAGUUGGCCGCCAACGUUCAUACAUAAAUCCAGGUUUGAAUUCUAAGAAGACAAUUACUCAAAAGUAGGAAGAAGAGAAGAAACAUGAGAUGACUCAACAUGAGUAGGAAAGAAAUACUGAUUCUCAAAGAAAACAUUUCUAGAAAAAUGAAAUUUAUUAGAACAUGGAUCAUAACAGAGUAAACCUUUCUGUCAAGUAGUAUAACCCAUAAAAACACAUUUAGUAGACUGAGCAGAAAGUUUAUUGCGCUGAGAAGCAGGAAGAUGCACAAAACAAAUACAAACAAAUGUAUGAAAAUUAUCAUAGCUUGAAUUUUUAUGAUAAAGACGAAAAUAUGGAGAUUCAAGAUUUAACACUUUAGAUGGUACUCUAUUAAUUAAGUAAACAGCAGUAGAUAAAGCUCCCACCCAAUACUUAGAUCGAGCAGAGGACUCAAUCAAUAAAGUACGAGUGACAUCUAAAAAAUGACGAUUUUUACGUUCAGCAACCCAUUUUGGUGUGAUGUAUAUGGACAAGGGCGAUGUGACAGAAUUCCUUUUUCAAGCAAAAUUUUUUUGGAUUCAUAAGACAUAUAUUCUCCACCAGAAUCAAAUCAUAAUAAUUUGAUGCAAGUAGAAAAUUGAGUCUCAAUAUAGGCCAAAAAUGUUUUGAAUAUGAAAAAUACCUCAGGUUUGGAACGAAGAAAAUAUACCCACGUAAAUCGACUAUAAUCAUCUAUAAAUGUCACAAAGUACUUAAAAUGAGCAUGAGAAACAAUUGGUGAAAUACCCCAAACAUCACUAUGAAUGACAUCAAAACACUUCGAGCACGACUACCAAAAUUAGAAAAGGAAGAAUUUUACUUUUGCCCAAUUUACAAGUAAAACAAUCAAAGGAAGCAAUGAAAAAUUGAUUUUUAUUCCCCAAUAAACCCGAAUUUGAUAAAUGAGACAACACAAUAGAAUUUGGAUGUCCUAAGCGCUUAUGUCAUACCUCAGUUGUACUAGGUGUAGAACAGUAGAAGUACAAGCAAAUGAUAGAACACGAGGAAUGAAAAAGUGUAUAGGAAACAAUCGUCCAACUUCAGGCCCCCUCGCAAUUAUCAUCCCCGACACCUGAUCCUGCACAAGACAACCAUUACGAGAAAAAUUCACAUCACAAUUAUUAUCUACCAAUUGUCCAACUGAAAUAAGACCAGUGGAGAGCUUUGGUGACACAAAAAUAUUGUUGAAAGUUUUAGUAAUAUCCCCAACCUUGGUAAUGGGUAAAUUACUACCAAUGGAAACUUGAAUUUGUGAUGGACCAUGAUAUUUACGAACAUUUUUUAGCAUACAAGCUGAGUUGGUCAUAUGAUUGGAAGCGCCAGAAUCAACAAGCCAAAAAUUAAAUGCAAGAUCAUUACCUUGUAGCCCCAAAGCUGAAAAGGCUGACAUGAUCAUUUGUCUUACCAUUUUAGGAGUAAGAACUUGCCCCGAAGAUGAGUUCUCAGUAGUGAAACCAUUUAUCCUAGCUUGAAAAACAUUGGCCUAACGAUUUUAAGGGCAUGUAGGACACUCUUUGGUAAUGUGUCCUUGUUGUUUGCAAUAAUUACAAAACUUCCUACCAUAAUUGCUAGCAAUAUGACCAUAUUCCUUGCAACUGUAGUAUUGAGUCCUAAUCAUAUCCCUAACCUUUCCUUUACCUUAGGUAGUAAAUGCAACAAUAACAUCAUCAACUUGCUUGAAAGCAUUUUGUCAUAUGCUACUCUUCACGGAGUAAUUCCCUAAAAUAAACAUUCAAGGAGGAAAAUGGGUCACGAUUCAUCAAGUGAGAGCGAGCACUCUCAAAUUUGGAACGUAACUUCAUCGAAAAUUGGUCUCGCUUGCUUUGCUCAUGAACUGCCUGAAUUACAGAAGGAGAUUCGGCAGGCAUUUUGGCAUAAACAAUAUCUGUAAAUUCAGUCCAUAAAUUUUGAAAUUCAAAAAAAUAAUCCUGAACGAAUUGAUAUCCUUGAGAGUAUCUAACAAUUUCAUACUCUAACUAAGAAUGUCUUGCGUUAUUGUCUUGGUAGUAAACCUUUUGUAAAUAAUCCCACAUAGCCUUAGCAGUCUUGUAAGACCUGAGAUUAAGAACAAUAAGUGGGUCAAUUGACCCCAAAAGCUAUGUCAUCAUCCGAGCAUUCUUAAUCUUCUAUUCACCUAACUUUGUAGGACCAAUAAAAGCAGGGUCGCUUUCAUCUAUAUGCCCCCGUAAUUCUUUUUCAGUGACAAAUAAUAGAAAUUGAAAUUUUCAGGAAAAAUAUUUUUUCAGUGAAGCAAACAUUGAGGAUUCAAAUUGAUGUGAAGCCAUGUUCUUAAAUAGCUACAAAAAUUAGAAACACUAUGACUCAAAAAAAACCCAACCAGAAUAACCAAGAUCAAAAGUCCAAGAUGUUGACAAACACCAAAAUUUUCAAAAAAAAUUGAAAUGAACCAAAAUGGACACUAUGAAACUAGACAGCAAAGAGAAGGCUCUGAUACCAUGUCAAAUUUGUGUUGAAUGUCUCUUAAUAUUGAGAGUCUUGCCAUUAAAUGGAAAGUAUUCAAAGAUUACAUCCCCCAAAAUUUGCCUUUCCUAUCCCUAAAGAUCAGUUAUUCUAUCCAUUUGAAUCUGCUACUGUAUCCCUUAAAAUCUGUUAUUCUAUCUUUUUAAUUACCAUAUCAUAUCUCUUUAAUUACAAAUAUACUACAAUAUCUAAUUACAUUAAUAUAUACAAUAUUCACUAUUAAUUCAUGAUCUUUGAGUUGUUUAUCAUGCUAACAGUAAGAUCUGCGUACACACUACCCUUCCCAGGCCCCACCUUGUGAGAUUUCAGUGGAUAUGUUUUUUGGUUAUAAACUGUGAAUUAUUACCAUUGAUAAACAAAAAAUUACAAACUAAAGAGAAGCUGAAUCUACAAGACUACAACCACCUCCUAGGGAGGGUGUUGUAGGUGUCUAGACCUCAAGCAAGAACCCCCAAAAACCCCACCAACUCAAUUACAUAAUUUUUGGAUUAAGGACAAGCACCUUUGUGCUCUUUGUGCUAUGCUGUACUUCUAGCCUAUGCUUAACCUCUUCUUGAAAUUUGUGCUACUACAAAAUUCGUACUUACAAUAGUAUCUCUAAAAAGUUCCAUAUUCCUAGCUUUCCAUGUAUGAUGAAACAUAGCCCCCAUACUGCGAUGAGGAUCUCUUUUUUCUUCUGCCUCCUAUGUCUUCUCUUCAACCAUCGGAUGGUCUGCUGAAAUCUCUAUUCUCCAAUUUGAGAACUUCUCCAUCUGAAAACUUCAUUCCUAACUACUGAGAUCUGUGAGCAUUAAACAAAUAGAUGUUUGGAGCUCUACACAUAGCCUUCAUUGUCAUCCACUAGAAUAUGCAACCUUUGGAGUCAUUUUUUAGUCAAUAGCCUAUCCUAUCUUGCUAUACAAACAAAUAAUUUAUACUUGGCAAGCAUCUAUCUUGUUCCAUAUCAAGUCUUCUCCUUUAGUCUGAUUAGAUUUUCCAACAUAACAUUGUACCUACUUGUCAUUGAGUAUGCACCAUUAGCAGUAAAAGUGUAUCUAUUGUUCUGAUACUAGCGAGUCGUGUCAAGUUUGAGUGUGUUCAAUUUCUUCCAAUACAAACUAUUAUUUAUUAGUGGAAUGUGCUUUCCCAUAUACUCACUACCUACUUUAUAUUUCAUGCACCCAUUUGACCCAUAAACUAUCCUUUCUGUCAAUUGCCAUAACAAGUUCCCUACUACACCCUUUUAAGUUCAGUCCAUCACACUUCUUUGGGAUACACACCUUAUCCCAAGGCAAUAAAUUGACUUUCCUCUUCUCAUCAACUUUGCCCCAGACACUCUCUGCACUUUAUGUCCACCAUCUUUAGGACACUUGGAGGUAGUAUGAACACAUUACCCCAAAAACUAUAAAUAGAAAAAACUCAAGAAGUACUUUGGUGACUUUUUUUAAAACCAAAAAAGUACUCUAGUGAUGAUUUGCAACCUUCCUGCUUAGGACAAAUGUUUGAAAUGGGCACCACUUAUUCUAACAGAGAUUGUCUCAACUAGUUGAUGGCACUCCAUUUUUUCUAUUUCUUAGAUGUCAAAGUAAGCCCAAGGUAUUUAAUAGGCGAAGUACCAAUUGAGAAAUCAGUGAAAGCUAGAAUUUCAACCUGAGUAACCUCAUCUACACACACAUAAAAAAAAAGGCAGCCCGGUGCACUAAAGCUACCGCUAUGCGCGAUGUCCGGGGAAGGGCCCCACCACAAGGGUGUAUCGUACGCAACCUUACCUUGCAUUUCUGCCAGAGGCUGUUUCCAAGGCUUGAACCCGUGGCCUCCCGGUCACAUGGCAGCAACUUUACCAGUUAUUCCAAGGCUCCCCUUCUGACCUCAUCUACACAAACCAAAAAAAAUGUUAAGACUUAUCCGCAAUAGCUACUAAGUCAGUGACACUGCAGAAGUGGUUCAGUGGUUCAUUUCAUUACCUUUCAAUUGACCUUAUGUUUCCUUUAUAUAAGAACAUCAAAUCAUGAACAAGGUGAAAUUUGUGGGCUUCAAUUCCUAGCACAUAGGAUGAAAAUUAAAAUUAGAAAGUUCACACAUCUUAUUCAAAGUUUUAGCGAGAUACUCCAUUGCAGGGAUACAUAAUAAAGCAGAUGGUGGAUCUCCUUGUCAGAGUCCUCUUCUUGAUUCAAAAUAGCCAUGCCCUUCACCAUCUACUUUAAUAGUGUAUUUUUUGUUGUUAAAACACAAACAAUCGCCAACUCAAUAAAGGAUGCAGGGAAUCCAUAUCUAGCCAGUGCUUCUUACAUAAAUCCUACCUUACCAUAUCAUAAGCCUAUCUGAGGUCAAUCUUCAUCAAACAUCUAGUAGAGGUUUCCCAAUUAUAAUGUCUCGUUAAGUCAUAGCAAAUGAAUGUAUUGCGGACUAACGAUCUUUCUUCAACAAAGGCAGCCUAAUUUUCCGCUACCAAAUGAAUUAGUGCCUUUCAUAGUCUCCCUCAAAGAAGCUUGAAGAUACAAUAUGGUUUUGGGCUAAAUUGGCUAACUAAAAAUGGAACAAUAACCUUAGGAAUUAGGCAAAUUAUAGUAGAAUUGAUCUGUUGGAGCAGUCUAUCAUUACUGAGGAACUAGAGGAUAGCAACUGUCACAUCCUCUCCAAUCACACACCAUGCUUUCUUAAAAAAGUCACCCCCACAUCCAUCUGGUCUAAGACUCUUGGUGCUGGCAAUAGUAAACAUUGCAUCUUUCACAUCCUUUGCUAGACAGGACUGUAUCAAGUCUAAUUGUUUUUUAAAGGCUAGUGUAUGACCAUUCUUGAGGAAGCUAUUAAAGCUUUGAUGUUAUCUUGUUCUUUCCUACCAAGGAGGUUUUGAUAAUAUUCCAUAGAAAUAUUGGCAUAGAUAGUGGAUCAGUCUGUAAUACACAUCUUGCCUGUCUCUUAGUUUGGUAACUGCCUAAUGCAAUUUCCUACGUUUAAUGAUAUAAUAAGAGUACCUUGUGUUAUCAUCACCAAGCUUGAUCCAAGUUGCUUUGCUCCUUUGAUGCAAGAACAUUUUGGCUAAAUAGGAUGAUCUUCUAAAUUUCUGACAUUGUAACUUCUCCCGUUCAUGUAAACCUUGAGUUAGAGGAUCUCUUUGCAGUGUGUCUUGGCUUGACUUAUACCUCCCUAUUUAUUCCAACAUCUGUUAGGGCUGUUCUAAAGUUUUUCUUAUUCAGCUCCUUCAACCUGUAUAUAAGGGACUUUAGCUUUUUAACUAUCUAUAACAUCAUGCAUCAGUAGUGGGAGUCCCCCAUACCACUUUCACUCUAUCAAUAAAACAACGAUGACUUGACGAAACAUUGCAAUACUUGAAUGGUCUAUUAGGUCUCUUCUAGUAUUAGUUGUUUAACCUUGAUGAGUUGAUGGGGCAGUGGUCACUGUGAGGAAGUUGGCAUUAUAGUCAGUCUUUUAAUUCCACCAUUCAUUAUUCGUAAAGACCAAUCAAUCUUAGAAAAAAAUUUCUAUUCUCUCCUUGUUUAUCACUCCAUGUAAAUCUAUUUUCCUUUGAGGGGAGCUCUAGCAUUUCACAAAUCUCCAAAUAGAUUUGAAAAUUCACUACCUCCGGAACAGAGACUGGACUCCCUCCUACUCUAUCUUCCAUAUUCAAAAUGGAGUUGAAAUCACCCAUUAUGAUCCAAGGUUUAUGACAUCCAUUCUUAAUUGUUUCCAAAUAGCUCCAUAGGGUUCUUCUUUCUUCCUUUGUAUUGUGCCAUAAACUACUAUCAGAAGGAACUCCACAUUCAAUAUUAUAUUCAGUACCUUAAAUGUAAUAGCGUGUGCAUUACCAUCAAUGUAAGUUACUGUGAAGUAAUCUGGUCUCCAUGUUAGCCACAUCCUCCCAUUAUAAUGGUAUUCCAGAUUAGUAAUAUAAGUCAAUUCAUGGAAAAGUUUAUCAGCUACCUGCUCAAUCUUUUUUUACUUUUAUCUUUGUAUCCACCAAUCCUAUUAGUCCUGCUGAUACCUUUAUUGUAGAGAAGUAGAACCUUCUUCUUAUUAGGGCCAUUUAGGCCCCAACAUUCCAACAAAGUAGAUUAUACAUGGCCAGAAGGAAGAGUUUGAGUACCUCCCUCAUAUCCGACCUUCCAACUAGUAUAUUAUCCUUUUCAUCUUCUUCUUUGUCUAACUAUUGAAAUGGGUUAUUGGAAUGGAUUCUAUUGUGUGUUCUCAUCUGCUGCUUACUUGUGUUCAAAGGUAUUAUUCAUCCAUCCUUCAUUGGUUGUGUUUUGUUAGCAUGCGCACUGGAGCCCUCUUUUGAAAUAUUGUGCAUAACUACUUGCUGACAAGUAACUUUUCCAUGUGAUGUGCUUCUAGUACCCACCACUGUUGGUUCCUUGGUGCUCAUAUCUUUCCCCUUGCCUUUGUCAAUGGCCAUCCUUUGAGCUCUAGUAUUUAAACUCAGGGCUAAAGAAAGAAUUUGACCCAAUUAGGUACAGAGAGCAGUUCAUCCCUCAAGAAUUCCAUAUCUGCAGUCCAAGCCCUUCACUAUGAAUGGUAUGUUGUCAAAGUGGUAUAUACCACCCUGAAUGACUUCAUUUAUCCCAUAGCAAUAUGAAAUCUAACCAGCAUAAUUCCAUUUUUAAUCUGCACUUUAUUGAUGCCCAUUGUUGUUUGACCUUUGUAUGUCAAAGUUAUUCCAAAUUGAAGUUUUACCCCCCACCCCCCUACAUUUAGGUUUGCUUCUACCUUCUCUGCCCAAGAUAACCUCUGAACUAUAUCCAUGGAUUCUCCCUUCUGGAUCUGACUUGGAUUUGUACCAUUGCCCUUAUUUGUUACAAUUGAUUACUCCGUAGAUUCGCUGUUCCAUUGUCUUCUGGAUGUUCUUUAACGAUGUUCCUUGCCUCUUCUAGUUCGUUGUUUCUUUGAGCUUCUAGAGGCAACUCCACUGAUGUAGAUCACUGUUCCAUUGACAUCCAGAUGUCCAGCUUCUGCAACUUCAUUCUCCGGAAGCAAGCUCUCUUGAGUUUCCUCCACCGACAAGGAUUUUUUAUACUCUUGCACUUGGUUCCCCUUCUUCUUCACCUAUCACCACCCUUGGCAGCCGCUUACUGAUAUUUUAGAGUGGGGGAAUACAUGCCCUCUUCCCCAUGGGAGGCUUACAUUAAGGUGACCUACACCGAGAGAGAAAUAUCUCCUUAUAUUUUCAUGGGGUAUGAUGUUGUGUUGGACUAAUUGGAAGAAAAGUAAUGCAUGAAUGUUUGAGAGAAAGUCUAAAUCAGUAAUUAUUAAGUAGAUAUGCAUCUCCUUACUGUUAUUUUUUGUGCAACAUGACCAUUGCAAAUGAUAUAAAGGUUAUGAUAGACCUCUUGAGUUGAUUACACAUUAAACAGUGAUGUUGACCAGUAAAGAUCUGGACAUCUUUUUGUUGCGUACUUUUUAAUACAAAUUCUUUCUAAUAAUAGGAAAGACAUAUGCUUAAAUUAUGAUUUUACCCUAGCUUUUGUUUUUCUUUUUUCUUUUACAUGUCUCCAAUAUCUUUAUCUAUUAUGGUCAACGUACCCAAAAUCUAUUGACCAUAGCCGAUAUGGAUCCCACACUCAUGUUGUGUCAACACGGAUGCAACACUUGGAAAUAAAGAGUCCGCACAACUUAGCAUUAAAUAGCUCAACCUGUUUUGAUCAGCCCAGCCUACCUAUUUAACCUCUAAGAAUACAAUGAUUCGAAAAGUAAGCCUUAAGAUAGGAAAAAGAGAGUAAUUUGAUGUCUGCCAGUCAACAAAGCCUUGCACUUUCUUUGGGUCCAUCCCCACUUGGUUCUAAGUGACCAAAUGUCCAAGGAAUUUGAUUUCCUUCCAGGAAAACUCAUACUUACCAUCUUCACAUAAAGCUAAAGCUUAUACUCCCGCAAACGAGACAAUACUUUGCGUAAAUGUUUUAGGUGUGCUCAAGAGAGAGAAUGUAAUCACAAUCGCGUCUAAGUGCACUACAACGCUAUCCAAAUACUUAAACAAAACAUUAUUCAUUAAACCACGGAAAGUUAUCAAGGCAUUAGUCAACCAAAAAUGCAUUACAAGAAUAUCAUAUGAAUCAUACCUAGUUACACAAUUAAUUUUAGGCUCAUUACCUUCUGCUAUUCUAACUUACCAAUUAACAGACCUAAGAUCUAACUUAGUAAACUAGCAGGCUUUGCUAAGCUUGUUCUAAGAUCUUGCAUCAACGGAACCAAAUAUUUUUUCUUCAUAGUUAUCUUGUUCAAAACCCAAAAGUGCACUCACAUCCUUAGUGAUCCAUCUUGCUUCUUUUGGCAUAGAAUGAGAGGGGUAAGGGGGGUAUACACCAUCUCCCCAGACACCUCCUGUGGGAUUACACUAUGUAUGUUGUUUUUGUUGCCACCCACUGUUGGAGUAGCAGUAAGAUUGGGAACUGAAGCUUGGAUCUGAUUUGGGAAGCCGUGGAUUAUAGUGUAAUAAUUGUAAUUGCUUCAUCAUUACGCUUGAGAUUCCUAGAACAUAUCCCGUCAAUGCUUGAGGGACUCAAGUCAUGGAUUAUAAUGCUUGACGAAAUCCACAUCCAGUCAGUGCUUCUUUUAUGAAGGGCUGCUUGAUUAUCAUACAAAAGUGUCAUCUUAUUGAUGUCUUCAAACUUCAAUUCUCUAAACAAAUGUUUGAUCCAAACUAGCUCACAUGUUGCUAUAGCGAUUGCUCAAUAUAUUAUACUUUUACACUAGAUCAAGCAACCACAUCUAGUUUCUUGCUCUUUUAAGACACGACACUACCCCUAUUAAAAACAUGAUUUCCAGACGUUAAACAUCUAUCAGAAUGUGAUCCUAGCUACCCACGUUUGUGCAUCCAAUGAUUUGUUCAUGCCCUUGAUCUUAGAAAAAUAGUCUUUUGCCCAGGGCUAAUUUACAUAUCAAAAUAUAUGGAUUCUGUGCUUGAUUAUCUAGUUCAAGGAAGGGAAAAGAUAACAUUUUCUUGGUAAUCUCAUACCAUGUUAUAAAAGUGAGAUGCCACUAAUGUUGGCUGACUUAUUGUUAACUUUAUGCUUAAAUUGCAUGGGUUUUGUAGAACCAUUAAUAGUGAGGGGAUUUUAAGUUUCUUAGAUCGUUUUAGAAAAGGUCAUGGGAUAAGCUUGGCACCAAAUUGAUGCCCUAUUACACUUAUCACUUUCAUAUCGACGGUCAAACUGAAGAGCUUAAUGGUACAUUAAGUAAUGCUUAUGUAACACCUCUUACCUUCGCACUAUGGUUUGAAUUGUUCGAUGCAUGAAAUUAGACUUGAACUUGGUGAAUUUGGUUGUACCUAGAUGUAAAUUUUAAGGCUCAAGUGUGGGAAGUGUGUGUGAACGAAGUUCGUAAGGGAACUCUAGCAACAAGUUGGGUUGGAAGAUUCUCCAUUGAUUAAAUGCCCGUAUAAGCUUGUGCAUGGUUCAACUUUAAACAAGUAUAUCUCCGAAUAUAUUUGGAGUAAGACGGUAUGCUACCUAGAAAAUUAAAGUCAUAUGAAUCUAGUUUCCGAGGCAUCAAACUGUUUGUCAUUUUGAACUUUUCCACAAGGAGAUGUGAUUGUUUUACCGGAAGGUAAGAGAAAAAAAUGUCCACGACCUUCCCUACAACUUAGCAGAGUUGUCCGUGACCUCACAAAGAUGACUCCAACCUAGCAGAGAUAUGUGCGACCAGUAUUGUUGGGUCCACCUAUAAAUAGCCCAAAUGAGGUCCUGACUUCAUUUUCAACUUUUUUCUUUCACGUGAACGUCUCAAGGUUUCCCAAGGUAAAUUUUUCUCCUAUCAUCCUAAGGCAAGGUAAGAGUUCUCCCUGAUCUUACAACAUGAUUCCUUUAACUUAUAGACAAUUCUAGCAUCAUUGUUCUUCUCCACGCUACAUUUUUCACGUCUAUGAGUGUUUCUCCAUGAACGAGUUAGGGUUUAUGAUGAAAAUCGCAUGUCUUGUUUUUAUUGGUUCCUUUGAACUUCAAGAAUUCUUUAUGAUAUUAUUCAUGUUGGGUUCAAGUUAAAAGUGUGAAUGGAAAAUGGAGGAAAUUAGUGGAGGAAAAAAUGAUAUCACACUUAAAAAGGAAAGUGUACUCAAAAAUAAGGAAAGCCUACUGUGGGAGAAAAAAACUUUCAUGUGUUCUUAUUAAGAAACACAUCUCCACAUGGAUAGUGAGGCAAGAACAAAGAGGUGCCUCGCGCCGUAGUCUUCGGCGCUCGCUCAGCUUUGGCUUUGGCUUUGGUAGUGUCAAAUGAUCGAUGAGAUUAAUUUUUUGGACAAAAUUUAUUUGAAACUUGAAAAAAUAUAGUCCGAAAAUCCAAGGAAAAACGCAAUGAAUUUUUUCUCCGUUAACGUGCAUGCAGAAACGCUGAAAGUUACUCGGAAGAGACAACUUUUCGAGUAAAAGACACACUGUUUCGGGAAAAAGGAUGACUAUUUGGAUGGUUGUAACUGUUCGGAAAAGACAUAUUGUUUCGAAUGGACAGACAUGACUAUUCAGAAAAGAUACACCUUUCCGAUGAACCAUUGCCUCCUUUCCUAAGGGGCACUUCAUGGCUAUAUAAAACUGCAUUUUUCCACAGCUUCAGUACAAAAAAUUUUCUGAAUUACAAACACUUCUGGUCUUCUAAAAACUCUGUGUGAUCAUCUCCCGUUGAGUGAGUUCGAAGUCGAUAGUUUGAGGUACUGCUGCUGUCGGAUUGUAAGCCAUUUUAGCCUGGGAGAAAAAUUCCGCAACCUCGGGUACUUGAGGGGAAUUAUUUCCUUAUGGACACUCUGUAAAGUUGGAGGACUUGGCUUUAUUUCUGUUUCAUCUUAUUUCUUAAGUGUAACACACUUCUUUGAUAGUUCGUAUUGAACUUGUGUUGAAGGUGUUGAAAAACUUCAUAAGUGUUCUUGAAAAAAUCUUGAACUUGUGUUGAAGUUUAGUGCAUAAACAUACAGAUUUUGUGUUACCCGAAACAGUGAUUUGAAGACAUAAAAACUUCAUUACAAGUUAAAUGUCAUUCGGUUAACGAUUGAAAAUCAUAAAACUUCAUCGUUAAACUAGAAACAAGGGGUGUUUAAAGUUGCUACAACUUUACAAGUAGUAUUUCAAUAUACUAAAGUUGACUGUGUUUUUGUGAUAGGAAAAUGACUACUGACAGUCAUGUGAAUGAUGCUGGGACGAGUGUGGCAGCAACAAAUAUUGCUACAACGAGUCGUACGAGUGCUCCGCAGGCAAUGACACCAGCGGAGAAACUCAAAAAAUUCGCGGGUGUUGAUUUUAAAAGGUGGAAACAAAAGAUGUUCUUCUACCUUACAACCUUGUGUCUUCAAAGAUUUACAUAUGAAAAAGCUCCAAAGUUCCCCGAAGGAACUUCGAACCAGGAGCGAUUUGUCAUUAUGGAGGCGUGGAAACAUUCUAAUUUCCUAUGUAGGAAUUACAUUCUAAGUGGCCUUCAAGAUGACCUAUACAAUGUGUAUAGUGGAAUGAAGACGUCAAAAGAGUUGUGGAGUGCACUGAAAAGAAAAUACAAGACUGAGGUGCUAGAACCAAGAAGUUCUUUGUUGCAAGAUUCCUUGAGUAUAAAAUGAUUGACAGCAAGUCUGUUGUAUCUCAAGUACAGGAACUGCAAGUUAUCAUCCAUGAUCUUCUUGCGGAAGGUAUGAGUUUUCUAAAUACCUUAGUAGAACAUGUUAAAAAUGUUCUUAAUGUUCACAUGAACUUUAUUAUAAGUUUGGCUGUGAACGAGGUGUUUCAAGUUGCGACAAUAAUAGAGAAGUUGUCACCUAUGUGAAAGGACUUCAAGAACUACUUGAAACAUAAACGAAAGGAGAUGACAAUCGAAUAUCUCAUAGUAAGGCUGCGCAUUGAAGCAGACAACAAAACCGCAGAAAGGAGGUCGAAAGGAAAUUCUGCAAUGAGUGGAGCAAACAUUGUAGAAGACGACUAAAACAACUCGAAAAAAUGAAAAAAAGCUGAACAAGAAAGCAAUCAACCUAAGAAAAAUUCAAGGGAAAAUGCUUUAAUUGUGGCAAGAUUGGCCACAAGUCAACAGAUUGUUGUGCCCUAAAGAAAGGCAAGAAGAAGGACCAAAUAAAUAAGGCUGAAUCCAAGAACGAAAUGGACGAUCUGUGUGCCAUGCUGUCUGAAUGUAACUUGGUGGGAAAUCUUCGAGAAUAGUGGAUGGAUUCCGGUUUCACCAACCACGUUUGUGCAAAUAAAGAGUUGUUUGCUGCAUUUGCUCUGGCUCAAGAAGAAGUGAAAUCUAUAUGGCAAACUCCGCAACUGCAAAAGUUGAAGGAACAGAAAAAGUCUGCCUAAAAAUGACAUUAGGAAAAAUGUUGACUCUUAAUAAUGUCUUGUAUGUACCGGAGUUAAGAAAGAACUUGAUUUCUGUAUCACUUCUUGAUAAAAAUGAUUCAAAUGUGUAUUUAUUUUCAGAAAAAUUAUACUUAGUAAAUGAGAAGUGUACGUAGGAAAAGGCUACCUCACUGAGGGCCUAUUUAAGAUGAAUGUAAUAAAUGUUGAAAUCGAUAAAAGUUCUAUUUCUUCUUACUUUCUUGAGUCUAAUGAUUUGUGGCAUGAACAAUUAGGACAUGUCAAUUACAAAACAAACUAAAAUUUGAUUAACUUAGAAGUUUUGCCAAAUUUUGAGUGCAAUAAAUCAAAAUAUCAAAUGUGUGUGGAAUAAAAGUAUGCUAAGCAUCCAUAUAAGUUCGUUGAAAGGAAUUCCAAUUCCAUAGACUUAAUCCACACUGACAUUUGUGAUAUGAAGUCAACACUAUCUCGUGAUGGGAAAAAAUAUUUUAUAACUUUUAUUGACGAUUGCACUAGAUACUGUUAUGUCUAUUUGCUAAACAGUAAGGAUGAAGCAAUAGAUGCGUUUGGGCAAUAUAAAACAGAAGUUGAAAAUUAGUUAGAAAAAAAGAUCAAAAUCAUAAGAAGUGAUAGGGGUGGAGAACAUGAAUCUCCCUUUGCGAAAAUAUAUGUAGAGAAUAGAAUUGUCCAUCAAACUACGACCCCGUAUUCACCUCAAUUUAAUGAAAUUGUGGAAAGAAAAAAUCGAACCUUAAAGGAAAUGAUGAAUGCCUUACUAAUAAGUUUAGGUUUACCGCAAAACUUGUGGGGAAGCUAUCCUUACAGCUAACCGAAUCCACAGUAAGACAUUAUCAAUUCCAUAUGAAAAAUGGAAAAAAAGAAAAUCCAACUUGAAAUAUUUCAAAGUGUGGGGUGUUUAGCGAAAGUCCAAAUUCCUAUGCCUAAAAAGGUCAAAAUAGGACCUAAAAUAGUGGACUGCGUAUUCAUAGGAUAUGCUAAAAGUAGUAAAGCAUGUCGUUUUUUGGUUCAUAAAUCCAAACAUUUGGAUAUCAUUGAAAAUACGGUAAUUAAAUCAGAUAAUGCUGAAUUCUUUGAACACAUUUAUCCAUAUAAAACUAGACAUAAACAAUCUAGUGAAAGGUCUAAACGACCUAGAGAUGAACCAAGCGAGGAUGUACAUAAUAAUGAGAAUCCAAUAUGUAGUACACAUCAAAGAACGUCAACUUCGUUUGGAUAAGAUUUUGUAACAUUUCUCUUAGAAAAUGAGCCUCAAACAUUUAAAGAAGCGAUGACGUCCUCGAACUCAUCCUUUUGAAAAGAGGUUGUCAAUAGUGAGAUUGAUUCAAUCUUAAGUAAGCAUACGUGGGAGUUGGUUGAUCUUCCUCUAGGAAAUAAACCUUUAGGUUCUAAAUGGAUCUUUAAAAGGAAAAUGAAAGCGAAUGGUACUAUUGACAAAUACAAGGCAAGACUUGUAGUAAAUGGCUUUAAAUGGAAGGAAGGCCUUGAUUACUUUGAUACAUACUCGCUUGUAACGAGGAUAACGUCUAUUCGGAUGUUAAUUUAAUUGCCUUGGCGGUGGUAUAUGGUCUUGAAAUCUAUCAAAUGGAUGUGAAAACAACAUUCCUAAAUAAAGAAUUGGAGGAAAAAAUUUACAUGGAAGAGCCUGAAGAUUUUGUGGUUCCAGGUAAAGAAAAGAAGGUGUAUAAACUUGUUAAGUCACUUUAUGGACUAAAACAAAUACGUAAACAGUGGCAUGCAAAGUUUGACCAAACCAUGUUGCAAACGGAUUUAAGAUAAACGAAUGUGAUAAAUGUUUUUACAUUAAAGACACUCCAAAUCACAAGGUCAUUAUUUGUUUGUAUAUGGAUGAUAUGUUGAUCAUUAGUAGAGACAUUUCUGACAUAAAUGCAACGAAACGAAUGCUUAAGAGCAAGUUUGAUAUGAAAGAUCUUGGAGUUGCGGAUGUGAUCUUAGGAAUAAAUCCACAGAACUCCACAAGGAUUGGCAUUGUCACAGUCUCAUUACAUUGAAAAGGUACUUGAAAAGUUCAAGUAUUUGGAAUUUGGUAUUGCCAGGACUCCAUUGAACGUUAGCUUUGCAUUUCAAAAGAAUGAAGGUGAAAGUGACUCACAGUUGGACUACGCAAGAGUGUUAGGAUAUUUAAUGUAUAUCAUGAAUUGUACACGGUCAGACAUAGCAUGUGCUACUAGUAAGUUAAGUCGGUACACGAGUAAUCCCAAUAAAAAUCAUUGGAUGGCAAUGAAAAGUUUUGGGGUAUCUUAAAUACACUCAAGACAAUGUUUUGCAUUAUAAUAAAUAUCCCUCGGUAAUUGACAGAUAUAGUGAUGCAAAUUGGAUCACCGGAUCAAAUGGAGUAAAAUCCACGAGUAAAUAUGUAUUUAUUAUAGGUGGAGGAGCAGUCUUUUAAAAAUUGUCCAAACAGACAUGUAUUGCUCGCUCCACGAUGGAAUCUGAGUUUAUCGCACUAGAUAAAGCCAGUGAAGAAGCUGAAUGGCUCCGAAAUUUCUUAGAAGAUAUUCCUUAUUAGCCCAACCAGUGGCACCAGUAUUUAAACACUGAUAGCCAAGCGACGAUAGGUAGGGCAGAGAGCAUGAUGUAUAAUGGUAAAUCUCCUCAUAUAAGACGAAGACAUAAUACCAUUAAAGAACUUCUCUCUAGUGGAAUUAUCACUGUCGACUAUGUGAAGUCAAAGCAUAAUGUGUCGGAUCCACUUACAAAAAACUUAUCUAGAGAGGGAGUUGAGAGAACAUCCAAGGGAAUGGGUUUACGGCUUAGGAUAAGUCAGCAUGGCGGUAACUCUAGUUCACAAACUGGAGAUCCCAAGAGCUAGGUUCAAGGAGAUCAAACAAAGUUAUGUCAGACAGGUUCAACAUUGUCAAUAUAUCCAACCUAUUCUCAUGAUGUAGACAUUGUUUAGGAAACAAGGAUAAGACUUAUGGUGUGAAGUCUUUUAAUGAUUAUCUAAAUUUGGUAGAUUUUACCAAAUAGUUUAAUUUAUAGGAUUGAACGUUUAGAAAUCACCUAUGUGAGGACAAAGUGGAAGACGCUUCAAGGAGAAUGUUAGUAAAGGCCUAUUCUCUAAGCUCUCAUGAAAUCGGGACGUGUUCAUGACUGAAACAAACAAAAUCGUGAGAACCAUAAACGGUAAAAGGUUGGUUGUGUGACAUGUGUUGUCUAGGUGUACAUUAAAGCUCGACGGUUCAAAACUAUCAAAUCUACCGACUGACCGAAUGCAUCCGAUGCAUGUUCACUACGGAAAGUUCAAAGGGAAACCCCUUUAUCCAAAUGCAAUCAGUCUUUGCUUGAUGAUCACAUACUUGUCCGUAAAAAUUUUAAAAAGAGUGGUCAUUCCCCAUUCAUGUGGGGGAUAGUUGGGUUCAAGUUAAAAGUAUGAAUGGAAAAUUGAGGGAAUUAGUGGAGGGAAAAAUGAGAUCACACUUAAAAAGGAAAGUGUACUAAAAAAUAAGGAAAGUCUAUUAAUUCUCCCACAUUGGUGGGAGAAAGAAACUUUCAUGUGUUCUUAUUAAGAAACGCAUCUCCACAUGGAUAGUGAGGCAAGAAUAAAGAGGCCUCGCACCGUUGUCGUCGUUGCUCGCUUGACUCCGGAUCUAGUCCGAAAAUCCAAGGAAAAACACAAUAAUUUUUUCCUUCAUUAACGUGCAUGCAGAAACGCUGAAAGUUGCUCGGAAGGGACACAACUUUUCGAGUAAAAGACACACUGUUUCAAAAAAAGGGAUGAUUGUUUGGAUGGUUGUAACUGUUCAGAAAAGACACACUGUUUCGAAUGGACAGGCAUGACUAUUCAAAAAAGAUACACUUCUUCGAUUAAACAAUGCUUCCUUUCCAAAGGGGCACUUCAUGGUUAUAUAGACCUGCAUUUUUCCACAGGUUUAGUACGAAAAAAUUUUUGAAUUACAAACACUUCUUGUCUUCUAAAAACUCUGUGUGAUCAUCUCCCGUUGAGUGAGUUCAAAGAAUUCGAUAGUUUGAGGUACCGCUACUGUCGGAUUGUAAGCCAUGUUAUCCUGGGAGAAAAAUUCUGCAACCUCGGGUACUUGAGGGGAAUUAUUUCCUUAAGGACACUUCGUGAAUUCGGAGGCCUUGGCUUUGUUUCUGUUUCAUCUUAUUUCUUAAGUAUAACACACUUCUUUGAUAGUUCGUAUUGAACUUGUGUUGAAGUUUAGUGUAUGUUAGUGUACCCGAAACAACAAUUCACUCUCUACGGUAUCCCUCUCUCAUGAAUUCUAUGACUUUCAUCAUUAAGUUCGAAAAUAUAAGAAAUAUGUUUUGUCCCGAAAUUCGAGUUUGAUGAUUCUCGUAAGGAUUUUACUUUUGAUAUGACUUUUGUGACUAUGAACCAUGAUUCACGAUGUGAUGUCUAUAAGGAAAAAUGACUUGUGAUUUAUGAGCUUUUCAAGCUAAAACAUGAUAUGAGCUGGUCCUUUCAUGUUUAAGAUUUCAAAUACCCCUCAUGAAUAAUACUCCUAAUUACGAUAAACCACUUGUGAAUUUGGUCAUCACUGGUAUGCGCCUAUCUAUGGAUCUCUAAGUACCCUCAUUGGUCAGGUAUUUCCAAAGUCGAAAUCCUUAAAUAAGCACUCUUAGAGUCUCUAUCUAUCAAGUCAUAUAUGUGGGUUUACUAUCCAAAGUUCUUAUAUGCCUUAUGAAAUCUCAAGAUGUUUUAUCACCACAUUUACAUAAAUAGAGUUUAUGACAUUUCCCCACACCAGAGGCAGCUCAAAAUAAUUGGAGGCCUAAAGUGAAGUUUUAAUUAGAGGAUUAAAUCUUAAACAAACUCCAUACAUAUUCUAUUUGAAAUCUAAUUUUGUUUUAGAUGUAAACUUACUACUAAAUAUUUAUUAUAAUCAAUUUAUUUGAUUAAUUCUUUUUUUUCAAUUGUUAGUUUUAGGUAGAAUUUAUCAAUUUACUAAAAACAUCCUUCCACGGAGAAAUCACUACGAGAACAUGACAAUUUAAGAUAAAAAUGAUAGUGUUAAAAUCAUAGAAUCCGAUUUAAGAAGUUGAUAACUUGGCAUUUCCUACUUUUAUGUGUCUUCUUUGAUGCUUGAAAACCUAAGAAGGAAAAAGAAAGAAUUUGUAAUUCACUUUGUUCAACGCUUUUUGACUAUUCGAGAUAAUUAAAGAUUUGAAGAAAGAGAGUAAAAAGAAUAAUACAGUGUGUGUGUGAGUGUUAGCGGACAUAAUGUAAAAAGGUAAAACAACAUAUUCUUUUUUAGGGGGGUAAACAGGGGCGGACCCACGUGUUUUUUUUGAGUGCUCCGGCACCCACUAGACUCGACAUAGAUUAGGUGUAAUUAUAUAAGAAAUACAAAAUAAAUAAUAUAAUAUAUUAAAAUGCACCCAGUGAACAAACACAUAACUGGGUGCAGUGGUUUGAGGUUGGACUUCCAUAUCCAGGUCCCUGGGUUCGAUUCCCUGUAGCUGCACAUUACUUUUUAUAAGUUUUUAUGCUACUUUACAUUAGUAUUUGCACGCACUAAGCUUCUUUAUAUAUUAUUUAUUUAUAAAUAAUAUAUUAUUAAAUAUUAAUUACAGAAUCCCUUAGUUGAUUUUUUUUUUGAAAUCUUAAACAUGAAAGGACCAGCUCAUAUCAUGUUGAUUCUCGUAAGGAUUUUACUUUUGAUAUGACUUUUGUGACUAUGAACCAUGAUUCACGAUGUGAUGUCUAUAAGGAAAAAUGACUUAUGAUUUAUGAGCUUUUCAAGAUAAAACAUGAUAUGAGCUGGUCCUUUCAUUAUUAAACAUGAUGCGGAGUUCAUUUUUGAUGUAGUUCAUGGAAGAGAAUGCUCGUUCCACAGAAGCAGUAGCAACGGGAAGAAUGAGAGUCAACUUGAUGAGUAAAUAAACAAGAGGCCAAGUCUAAUGCAAUUCUGAUUCAACCAAAACUUUAGCAAGAUCAAUAAUUCCCUUCAUAUUGUAAAAUCUUUUAUCAGAACCUCGAACAUGUGCUAUGAAGUUAUCAAGCUGACAACUGAGAUCUCGAAGUUUGUUGCUAUCAAACUCAUUUGGAUAAUAUUCAGCCAACCUCAUUAUUUUUUUCUUAUCAAAAAUACCAAAUGACUUGGUUGGAUGUAAACAAGUCAUACCAAGAAGUAAGUCAGUACUAACAACGUCGAAACAAUUAUUAAGCUCCUAAAGUAGCAAAUCAAUAACAGCAUAAAAUCUUUCAACCCGAAAAUGAUGAGAUUAUGUAACAUCAAGAGCUCUAAGUUUCGACUUACCAGGAAUGUAGCGAGCAUCCAUUUUUGGGAUCGCUAUCUCAUAUUUAUCACAAAAAGAAAAGACAUUAUCCAGUAAUGAUCUCCAUCCACUAUCCCUCAUCCUUUGCAACUCUUGCUUUGCAGUAUUGAGCAGUUUCAGAGCAUUGACAAUAUCUUGAUCCAUCUUUUGCAACAAGUUGUUCAAAUAAUUUGUUAUCAUUAGAACUUUCCACAUCAAAUGUAGCAUAAAAGCAAAAUCAAACCCCUUAAUCGUAUUCUCAAGAGUUUCAGCUGCAAGUCUGUCAAGAUAAUUUGGGCACUCACGUGCAGCAAAUUCAAGCACAUAAAGAAUUGAUAGAAAUAUGUCAAUGAAGUUCUCUAACGUCUUACAGUGAGAACCCGAACGAGUGUCACAUGGCCGUUGAAGUCCGCGUUCUUGAUUUAGUCCCUGUCCAGUGUGCACUUCACCAGAAAUGAUCAACUUUUUUAAUUUUACAGCUUGAUGUUGUCUGAGCAAAUCCCUGCGCUUAUAUGAUGCUCCAACAAUAUUCAACACAUUAGUAACUAAACAAAAAAAAAUCAUCUGAAUUCUUCUUCACAAGAGCCACGAGUGUCAGCUGCAACUGGUGAGCAAAACAAUGAGUAGAAUAAGCAGAUGGAGUAUCACGCAAAAUUAAGCUCUUAAGACCAUUUAGUUCACCUUGCAUGUUACUUGCACCAUUGUAACCUUGUCCACGUAUUUAGGAUGGACUUAGUGAGUAAUCUAAAAGAAAAGAAUAGGUUGACUCCUUUAAUGAUCGUGCAGAUGUAUCACUAACAUGGACAACACCAACAAAUCGCUCUAUCACUUCACCUUUUUUGUCCACAUAUCGCAAAACAAGUGUCAUUUGCUCCUUAUGUGAUAUAUCUUUUGAUUCAUCAACUAGUAUCCCGAAAUAAUCACCAUCUAAGUCUUCCAUGAUAACUUUAAUUGUUUUUUUUGCACAAGCAUCAACAAUAUCUUUUUGAAUUUUUGGACAAUACAACAAUAAUGAAUCCCUCAAUGUUAUCAUUAAUAAAUAGCUAUGGCCUAUUUGGACCCCUAUUAAGAAUAGGGAAAUGCCCUUAAAGGUAGAGGUUCAAAGAACCGGAAUUACUUUUGAUUUUCGAUUCGGCCGGUGAAUUCGAACCAUCGAAAGAAUUCAAUGUCACAUCGGAGUCUUUUCAUAUCGGCCAGCCAUAGCCGACCAAACUCCUUUUGCUGCUCUUUAGAAUAGGUACUGGUGUACCAUUUCCUCUUUAGAGCNNNNNNNNNNNNNNNNNNNNNNNNNNNNNNNNNNNNNNNNNNNNNNNNNNNNNNNNNNNNNNNNNNNNNNNNNNNNNNNNNNNNNNNNNNNNNNNNNNNNNNNNNNNNNNNNNNNNNNNNNNNNNNNNNNNNNNNNNNNNNNNNNNNNNNNNNNNNNNNNNNNNNNNNNNNNNNNNNNNNNNNNNNNNNNNNNNNNNNNNNNNNNNNNNNNNNNNNNNNNNNNNNNNNNNNNNNNNNNNNNNNNNNNNNNNNNNNNNNNNNNNNNNNNNNNNNNNNNNNNNNNNNNNNNNNNNNNNNNNNNNNNNNNNNNNNNNNNNNNNNNNNNNNNNNNNNNNNNNNNNNNNNNNNNNNNNNNNNNNNNNNNNNNNNNNNNNNNNNNNNNNNNNNNNNNNNNNNNNNNNNNNNNNNNNNNNNNNNNNNNNNNNNNNNNNNNNNNNNNNNNNNNNNNNNNNNNNNNNNNNNNNNNNNNNNNNNNNNNNNNNNNNNNNNNNNNNNNNNNNNNNNNNNNNNNNNNNNNNNNNNNNNNNNNNNNNNNNNNNNNNNNNNNNNNNNNNNNNNNNNNNNNNNNNNNNNNNNNNNNNNNNNNNNNNNNNNNNNNNNNNNNNNNNNNNNNNNNNNNNNNNNNNNNNNNNNNNNNNNNNNNNNNNNNNNNNNNNNNNNNNNNNNNNNNNNNNNNNNNNNNNNNNNNNNNNNNNNNNNNNNNNNNNNNNNNNNNNNNNNNNNNNNNNNNNNNNNNNNNNNNNNNNNNNNNNNNNNNNNNNNNNNNNNNNNNNNNNNNNNNNNNNNNNNNNNNNNNNNNNNNNNNNNNNNNNNNNNNNNNNNNNNNNNNNNNNNNNNNNNNNNNNNNNNNNNNNNNNNNNNNNNNNNNNNNNNNNNNNNNNNNNNNNNNNNNNNNNNNNNNNNNNNNNNNNNNNNNNNNNNNNNNNNNNNNNNNNNNNNNNNNNNNNNNNNNNNNNNNNNNNNNNNNNNNNNNNNNNNNNNNNNNNNNNNNNNNNNNNNNNNNNNNNNNNNNNNNNNNNNNNNNNNNNNNNNNNNNNNNNNNNNNNNNNNNNNNNNNNNNNNNNNNNNNNNNNNNNNNNNNNNNNNNNNNNNNNNNNNNNNNNNNNNNNNNNNNNNNNNNNNNNNNNNNNNNNNNNNNNNNNNNNNNNNNNNNNNNNNNNNNNNNNNNNNNNNNNNNNNNNNNNNNNNNNNNNNNNNNNNNNNNNNNNNNNNNNNNNNNNNNNNNNNNNNNNNNNNNNNNNNNNNNNNNNNNNNNNNNNNNNNNNNNNNNNNNNNNNNNNNNNNNNNNNNNNNNNNNNNNNNNNNNNNNNNNNNNNNNNNNNNNNNNNNNNNNNNNNNNNNNNNNNNNNNNNNNNNNNNNNNNNNNNNNNNNNNNNNNNCUUUCAGGCUGACCAACGUCUAAGACCGGAGAUUAAUCGGUUCCUUCAAACACUUAAGAAAAGGUGAACACCCCAUACUAGAAGCAGAUUCCAUAAUAAGACAUGAUAUAUUAAAUUAAUUUAUUAAAAGUAUAAUCAUAGUUGAGAAUGUUAAAUGCUAACUGUUAUGAAACUCAUUUUCCCAUGCUCUAGACAGAUUAUGUACUUAGCUGCUCAUGCUAGGUACACAAUCUGCCAACAUGGCUUUGAUACCAAUAAAAGGAUCCGGGAUUAUAAUUUUAAAUAAGAGAGUAAACAGUAUGAAAUAGAGAAAAGAAUUUAAAAACUUACAAGUUUAUUCAAACUUCAAUGAAAACAUUACAAGAGGGCUAUUACAAGAGAUAGGGCAAUAGAGAAUUUCUUUAAGGGAAAAAUCCCUUAUGACAUCCUAACCUAUGGUGACUUAAUCAGUUUCAUCACUACCGUAGGGAUAGAUCUCUGCACUGAUAUCAAGCUUAAGAAACAACUUAAGAAAGAUAGUACUUCCAAAUAUGGACUAGGAACCUUCUGCCAAGACUAUGGAUUCACCAGCCCUGGCAAAAAGCAUAAGAAAAGAACCUCCAAGCCUCACAAAAAGGUUACCUCUAGUAAGAGACCCUUCAAACGAGAUUCCUAUAAACCAAGUAGAAAAUUCACCAAGAGAAAAACCUCUAAGGGUAAAGAUACUUGUUGGACUUGUGGCAAGACUGGUCAUAGGGCGAAGGAUUGCAAGUCCAAUAAAAAGAAGAAAAUAAACCAGCUCGAUCUCUCAGAAGAAACCAGAGCUAGUUUAUUCUCUAUCAUGGAAGACUCGCCUGAUUCUUCCGAAUACUCUUAUACCUCUUCAAGUGAGGACUACAGCGACGAGGAGUUCAUUAAUGCUGCUUAUGAUUCAGACCAAUCCCAAUCCGGCCAAGAAUGUGCCUGUAAUGGUGCAUUCUGCACUUGCACCAGAAAAACUAUUAAUGUCAUUUCAGGAAAUCCUAAAGAAAUCCUAUUUGACAUUAUAGAACAUAUCCAGGAUGAUGAGGCUAGAAACAAAUAUCUUCUAGAACUCAAACGGUUAAUGCUUUCUCAUGAAGAAAAGCCCCCCAAACCUAUUAUUCAACCUUUUAGCAUGAAGCAGGUUAUGUCAAGAUUCGACAAACCAGCAUAACCAUCUAUUGCUGAUCAGGAGAAAUCUCCAUCUUAAAGGGAGAAAUCAAGAAUUUAAAAAUCCGGCUUGACCAAGUAGAGCUCAACGUUCUUACAGAUCAAGUCCUGAAGGAUAUCUCUCCCCCCGAAAAGAUUUCUCCUCCCGAAUCUCCUAAGAUUUUCCCGAUCAUCUCGAAUGACCAUCUUAAAGAACCAGAGCCUAGUUCCUUCCCUGGCUCAAAUUCUCCCUCCACUUCCGGCAAAGCUAUUACAGCCAUAAAGGCUUAUAGUGAACACAUAGCCGUUAAAAUUGUCAUAAACAAAGACUUUGUUCUUAAUAGAGUCGCCCUCUUCGAUACAGGAGCCGAUAGUAACUGUAUUGUUAAAGGUCUUGUGCCUACGAAGUACCUUACAAAGAGUACCUCUCGCCUUUACUCAGCCACGGGAGAAAAGAUGACCAUUCAUUAUCAACUCCCUAAAGCUCAUGUCUGUAACAAUGGCAUUUGCCUUGUUAAUGAUUUCGUCAUUACCGCGAAGAUAUCUGAAGAUAUUAUUCUAGGGAUACCUUUCGUCAACCAGAUUAGACCCUACUGGAGUGACUACGAUGGCAUUCGUACUACUCUCCUAAACCAAACCCUGUUCUUCCCUUUAUUAAGACCCCUCUCGCAGGAAGAAGGAAACCUUAUUAAAGACCAGACGAUUUUUAAAAUUAACCGACUUUCUUCUCAUGUCAAUUUUCUUAAACAUGAUAUUCAUAUAAAGAAAAUUGAACAAUCUUUAAAAACCCCGGAAAUGCUUACAAAAAUUUCCAACCUUCAGAAGAACUUUGAAAAGGAAAUCUGUUCCGAAUUUCCUAAUGCAUUUUGGGAAAGGAAGAAACACUUAGUUGAACUUCCUUAUAUCCCCGGGUUUGACGAACAAAACAUUCCCACUAAGGCCAGACCUAUCCAAAUGAACCAUGAGAUGAUGGAAAUCUGCAAGAAAGAAAUNNNNNNNNNNNNNNNNNNNNNNNNNNNNNNNNNNNNNNNNNNNNNNNNNNNNNNNNNNNNNNNNNNNNNNNNNNNNNNNNNNNNNNNNNNNNNNNNNNNNNNNNNNNNNNNNNNNNNNNNNNNNNNNNNNNNNNNNNNNNNNNNNNNNNNNNNNNNNNNNNNNNNNNNNNNNNNNNNNNNNNNNNNNNNNNNNNNNNNNNNNNNNNNNNNNNNNNNNNNNNNNNNNNNNNNNNNNNNNNNNNNNNNNNNNNNNNNNNNNNNNNNNNNNNNNNNNNNNNNNNNNNNNNNNNNNNNNNNNNNNNNNNNNNNNNNNNNNNNNNNNNNNNNNNNNNNNNNNNNNNNNNNNNNNNNNNNNNNNNNNNNNNNNNNNNNNNNNNNNNNNNNNNNNNNNNNNNNNNNNNNNNNNNNNNNNNNNNNNNNNNNNNNNNNNNNNNNNNNNNNNNNNNNNNNNNNNNNNNNNNNNNNNNNNNNNNNNNNNNNNNNNNNNNNNNNNNNNNNNNNNNNNNNNNNNNNNNNNNNNNNNNNNNNNNNNNNNNNNNNNNNNNNNNNNNNNNNNNNNNNNNNNNNNNNNNNNNNNNNNNNNNNNNNNNNNNNNNNNNNNNNNNNNNNNNNNNNNNNNNNNNNNNNNNNNNNNNNNNNNNNNNNNNNNNNNNNNNNNNNNNNNNNNGAAUUUUUGCUUAGGGUAGAUUGUAAAUCUGCUAAAGAAAUUUUGCAAAAAGACGUUAAAAAUCUUGUUUCAAAACAAAUAUUUGCUAGAUGGCAAGCUCUCCUAUCUAGCUUUGAUUUUCAAAUUGAGUUUAUAAAAGGAGAAAAUAAUUCCCUUCCUGAUUUUCUAACAAGAGAAUUUUUACAGGGCCAACAUGAGACCCUCCACCCUGGGAAAAGUCCCAGCAGAAAGCAAACCAGACCAAACCAGGAUGGCUAGACCAUUCGAUUCCCCCUCAGCAUUAACUAACCCGUUAAGACCAUCGGUCCCUCAGAGACCUACACUAAAGACGGAACUCCAGACUCCGUUCCAAAACAAAUUCUCGGCUUUGGCAGAAUUUCCAAAGCUCACUCCACCUAUGCCAAGCAAAUUGGUUGAUCUGAAAACCAAUAAGCCUUUUGAUAAAGGGCAAUUAUCUAAUACUUCAGUCCAAACCAAACAAAGUUACGCCAUGAAGGCCCCAGAGACCUUUGCACAAGCCGUAGAUCCCUCUGCGGUCACUUCAAAACAAACCUCUCCCAUCAGAGAAGAAUUCAAAUUUAUUACCACCCAGGUAAUGCCAAUAAUUGCUUUAGACAAAGCAUAUGAAGGAUAUCCGUUAGAACAGCUGAUCAAGCCUGUCUACAAUGACAAGAAUUUUGUGGAUACAGAAAAUCCCAUUAAGACAAGGAGGUAUUAUGAGGCCAUCCUCGUUGACACUGACUCAAUUGAAGUUGAACAUUCUAUGAACGAAAGGAAUCCCGAUUACAUUGAUUAUUCGAGAUUCACUAUUAAAAGGAUAUUAACUCCUUUCAAUUGGUUUGCAGAUCACCUGCACACACCUAUUGCACUAUCUAUGCCGCACAGGCCACAAACUUACAAUUGGUAUGACUAUAAGUCGGCAUGGUUUAAUUUUUUAUACGUUAGACCAGGACACACCUGGUUUAUUAAGUACUGUCCAGCAAUGGUAGAUGCCAUCAUCCCUAGAUGGUUUUAUGAAUGGUGGAUUUACUUUGGAGGGAUCAAAGAAAUCCUUCCCCAGCAAUUCCUUAACAGGUUUACAGAUUUCUGCACCAAAGAAGGGUGUGCAACCCUUCCUGAGCACAUUCAGAUGUGUAAGUUCUUUAUCAAAAAGCGAGUUUCUUAUAUUAUUUCAUGGAACUUUGCUAAGGGAGAACAACAUCGUAUCAAAUACUUAUCCAAAGAGAUAAAAGUUAAAGGUUGGACUCCCAAGCCAGCAGUAUCAAAAACUCCAGACAAGGAGAAAUCAGCCACCACUUCCUCAACCACUGCCUCUCACAGUAAGAAGGCCCUUAAGGAGAAAUUAAAAAAGGCUUUGCAGGAUAUGGAAAGCUAAGAUGCCAAUGAAGAAGAAAUAUUACAGCUUCUCGAAGAAGCUUCCUCGACCGGAAGUAGUGACAAUAAUGGUGAUAUGCUUAAUCCUAAAGGAAUAGCUAUGGCCUAUUUGGACCCCUAUUAAGAAUAGGGAAAUGCCCUUAAAGGUAGAGGUUCAAAGAACCGAAAUUACUUUUGAAAGGGCAAUUUACUAUUCAUAAUAAGAAUCCAAAGCUACUUGCUUUUCCAAAGGAGAAAAGACAGCCACUAUCCUAACAGAAGGCCCGCUAAUCAGCUUUUCAAAAAGCGAGGAAUCUAAUGCUUUUCCAACAGAGAAAAGACACUACCCUGCCAGAGGGUCUCGGUCCCCUAGACAACUUUUCAAAAAGCAUGUCUCAUCAAGAAUCUACUUUUAGAGAUUUAAUCUAAGCCUUACAAAUGUAUGCACCAGAUGUAUAAUCUUGUUCUGAUGUAUCACUAACAUGGACAACACCAACAAAUCGCUCUAUCACUUCACCUUUUUUGUCCACAUAUCGCAAAACAAGUGUCAUUUGCUCCUUAUGUGAUAUAUCUUUUGAUUCAUCAACUAGUAUCCCGAAAUAAUCACCAUCUAAGUCUUCCAUGAUAACUUUAAUUGUUUUUUUUGCACAAGCAUCAACAAUAUCUUUUUGAAUUUUUGGACAAUACAUCAUUUCAUUUUUUGGGGCAUUUUCUAAAAUAAUGCUCCCAACAUCCUCAUCAAUAUUUCCAUACCAUCAUAAAAGCUCAAGAAAUAUACCUUUAUUUGUAGAAGAUACACUCUCAUCACGACCACGAUGGCAAUCCCAAUUUCAAAAGAAACCUUGCCACGUUAACUGAAGCACUCAAGCGAUGCCGAGAUUCAUUUUUUUCUUUCUCGGAAUGCUUGUCAAAAGAUGUGCGAAUAGAUUGUGAUUGAUUCAUCAAAUCAAUCAUCAUGUUGAAACACUUGUUGUGGAUGCUAUUAACCUCUCCAAUAUGAGUUCCGAAUCUCUCCAAAGCCUUGUUCCAACCCUUAAAGCCAUUUUGCGUAAAAGCAAUAUCGGCCAUAUUACCAUGAACUUCAUGCUCAUUUUUAAACAAGUAGCAACACAAACAAUAUGCAACAUCUUUUGAUACACUGUACUCUAACCACUUGGAAUAUUGACCUUUGAACCAAUCAGGAUUAAAUUUACGCAUCGUAAUUUUUUUCUUUCCAAAUUAAUUUUUUGAAAAAAUGUGAUCCUUAGGCUGACAAGGCCCCUUUUGAAUAUAAUAUCUUCUAACUUCGUCACGUAUAUUAACAUCAUAUUCUACUAUAGGCCUUCUUUCUGCCGGAUCAGCUUUCAAAUAUGUAAAUUCGAUAUUUGAAGGAGUAGUAUCUCUUUGAACUUCCAAAGCUAUAGAUGAAGCAACGGGUGAGAUAAUAGCUUUAGAGCUAGGUUGCCAACGUUUUGAUCUAAUGACAAACUUAUCCAUCCUAAUUUACAUAGAUUUAUGAAAAUUCUUGCAAAACAAGAUUCAAUUAAUACGAUUUUCAAGCAAGAAUCUUUCAUAGAAUCAUAUCUAUAGAAGAUUGGUGAAAAAAAAAAAUCUAAAAUCCUUAUUUUAUUAUUGCAAUAUUUAGGAGAUUGGUGAAGUAGCAAGUACUUUAAAACUAAUUGCUAAACAAGAUACAAGAAUUUAUUUUUGAUUCAUACGUUUGUUAUUCACCUUUUGUUGUAUUUCCCAAAUCAAAUACUCUUUUUGUUGUAUAUUAUUAGAUAUCAACUUGACAUUUUCCACUUCUUUUUGAAGAAAUUUUCCUUUUUUUUGACAAAAAACAAGGAGAACAAUAACAAAUCUCUACUAACUCAUAUAUUUUCUAAUUUCUAUGGCAAUUAUAAUGAAUAAGAAAUAGAUAAAUAUCAUAUACAAAUUCAAAUUCAAAAUCAUAUUUUAAAUUUUAACUCUGAAGAAAAGUAAAGUACCUGCGCUUUGAGAUUAGUGAAUGAAGAUUAUGAAAAUGGAAAAUAAAAUUGAAAGAAGAAGAUGAAAUUUGGUGUUUAUUUAGUUUUGAAAGAGGAUGGUUUUUGAUGAAGUGCCUGGAGAAUGCCGCGAANNNNNNNNNNNNNNNNNNNNNAAAGUGUUUGACUUUGAGUAAUUAAAAACUGUAAAAGCUUUCUUUUUUGUUUAAUGACUCAAGAAGUAAACAAAGUAUAAAAAAUUAACAAAUGAAAAGUAAAAAAAAAAUCAACUAUGGGAUUCUGUAAUUAAUAUUUAACAAUAUAAAAUUUAUAAAUAAAUAAUAUAUAAAGAAGCUUAGUGCGUGUAAAUACUAAUGUAAAGUAGCAUAAAAACUUAUAAAAAGUAAUGUGCACCUACGGGGAAUCGAAUCCAGAGACCUAGAUAUGGGAGUCCAACCUCAAACCACUGCACCCAGUCAUGUGUUUGUUCACUGGAUGCAUUUUAAUAUACUAUAUUAUAUUAUAUUAUUUAUUUUGUAUUUCUUAUAUAAUUAUACCUAAUCUACGUUAAGUUUAGUGAGUGCCGGAGCAUCCGAAAAAAACACGUGGGUCCGCCUCUGACAAUGAAAAUAAUAAACUUUUCAACACCUUAUAUAGAAAUAAAUCUAAAUUUUGGAACAAAACCAAGAAAUGGGAAAAUGGACUCAAAAAAGACCCAAAAUGAAAAAAAUUGAAACUUUUCAACCUCCAAUAUGGAAGAAUAAAAUCUAAUCUUUGGAACAAAAUCAAGAAAUGGUGAAAAUGGAAAACUAUUUCAAGACCCAGUAUGAAAAAUUUGAACUUUUCAAGACCCGGCAAGGAAAAAAAUGUAAACUUCUGAGCAAAAUCAAGAAAUGUAAAAAUUAUUACACCAAAUUAACUGGAAGAAUAAAGAUCCAAAAUGAGAAAAAAAAAUAGAACUUUUCAAGAUCCACUAUGAAUCGGGUAGGGUGAAAUAUUUGGGUUGGGUGGGGUUAGAAUUGGAUUAAAUUAGUUGGGUCAGGUUAGGUUUAUUUAAGGGGCCAUUAAUUCAAAAGAAAAAUAAAUUAAACACGUGACAACAUCACAGGGCGAGUGGAGUGCACUCCAUUCAUCGCGUCUGGGCAUGGAUGUCGCAGGGAGGUAAUAGUUUCACUUUUAUAUAGUAUAGGUGUGUAAUAGGUCACUAUGAUAGUUUAGGUAUGACCUAAACUUUUCGUAUAUUGUUUGAGGUGGACUUUUCCCUAUUCUCAAACUCUCAAUUACUCCUAUAUUGCCAUAGACAUUCAAUUUAGGCAUAAAAAAAGGGUUAGAAUUCUAUUGACUAGCUUGCGUGUUUUCCCAAUCGUACUAUGUUGAACAUCCUGCAUUAUCACAUGCAAAAAAGGUUAAACUUUCUUAUGCAUCAAUCAUCAGCAAACACCAACUCAAAGAGAUAAAUACUAAAAUCUGCACCCCCUAAAAAUUAUUUAUUUAGUUAGUAAACGUGUCAACCUAGAAACAAGUCCUCUUCCUAACAGCUAAACACGUAUAUCAAGAUAAUUAAUAAAGAUCCUGUUAGUGCUGGAGAAUUAUACAAUAUACGAAAUUAGACUCUUUCAGAUAUAAAUACGAGACAAUAAUUAUUAAUCGAAUGAUCAUGUGUGAAAUUGAAAAAACCUGUUAGUGCUGGAGAAUUCAUGGAGUCUGCCACGAUUGGAGACGAUAACAACACCAACAUCAACAUCACACAAAAUUGAAAGUUCUCUAGCUUUCUUUAUUAGACCUUUUCUCCUUUUACAAAAAGCAAUUUGUCUACAGCUGUUAUCUAGAAUUGGCUUUAUUUCUAACUUCUUUCGCCCCAUCUUUUCUGCCUAACAAAAACCCUAAACCAAAAUUUAGAGAGAGUCUACAUACCCAAAAAUUUCCUAUUUUUAUCAUAACACCAUUGCUCUAGAGUUCAUUUUUUUGUAGAUUAACUAGUAUGUUCUCCCCCACUUAAAUCUCCAUGGGUCCCUUCCUCCCAUCUUUUCAUGUUUUCUCUCCUUUUUUAAUUCCUUUUUUUUUUUUUUUUUGGGUUUUUCAAAUCCUGCUCUGUGUUUUUAUUUAUCGGUAAUUUGGUCCAAAAAUCUAAUGGACAACUCAAAAAGGGGCUCAAAAUUACAUGACUAUUCUGUCUGCCCAAUUUACGUGCUGAUUUUGAUAUUGAAAUUAUGUAAAUAUAAUUCAUAAUAAUAACUAGAAAUUAAAAUAUUCAAAGUCAUAUUAAAAAAAAAUUAGUUUUUUUUUUUUUUGUUGUUGUACUCACACAGUGAAUAGUUUUAGCUGAUUGACUCGAAAUUGUGAAUAUGGAGAGUCCGGAAUUAAAAUAGGUCAUGAAAUUAAUAAAAAUAUUAAAAUAUUUUAUGUAUAUAAAAUAUAAUAAAAACAUGCUUAAUUUAAUUUAUUUUUUAAGUGAGUUAUAUCAGUUUUUUUAACGAUAGUUGGCAUACGACGUCAUACUCAUGAAAAAGUACAUAACUCACCUAAAAAGUGAAUUAUUUGUUUUAUUUCUGCAUAACUCACUUAAAAGCGAGUUAUACAAUGAACGUUAUAUAACUCAUUUUUUAAGUGAGUUAUGCUUUUGGAUUUAGAGAAAAUGUAUCGUUUUUACCUUAAAUCAUACACGAAAUUGUUGAGACACACUUGAACUUUAGGAGGUCCUAUUACCCCUGGAUUAAUUAAAAUCGCAUUUUUGACAACCUUAGUGCCUAUGUGGACCUUCAGUGUGUUGAUUCAUUGAUGUGUCACGUAUGUACAACAUAGGCAUUAAGAUUGUCAAAAAUAUAAUUUUAAUUGGUCCAGGAAUAAUAAGACUCUCCUAAAGUUCGGGCGUGUCUCAGCAAUUUCAUGUAUAGUUAAGGGUGGAAACAAAACAUUUUUUCUUGGAUUUAUACAUAACUAAUUUAAAAAGUGAGUUAUACUUUUUGAUUUUAUAAAUAACGUAAGUUGUAUUUAUUUUUAUAAUUUAUGUGAAUGUUUAUAAAACUUACAUAUUACAUAACUCACUAAAAAGGUGAGUUAUACAAUAAAAAUUACAUAACUCACUUUUUAAGUGAGUUAUGCUUUUUGAUUUAUACAUAACUCGGUUAAAAAGUGAGCUAUACUUUUUGGUUUUAUAAAUAACUCACUUUUUAAGUGAUUUAUAUUUAUUUUUAUAAUUUAUGUGAAUUUUUAUAAAACUUACAUAUUAUGUAAGCAAUCAAUCUAUCUUUUAAAUUUUUCUUUUUAAACAAUUGAUAUAUUUAUCUUUUUAAAAAAAUAUAUUUUGAUUUUUUUAAAGCUCACUAAUUAUGUUAUUUUAUAAAGUUUAGUAAUUGUUUUCUUAGAUAUAUUUUUAUCUUAUAAAACUAUAUAUUAGGACUGCUUAUCGGGCGAAUCGGAUGGAUAAAUAUACUUAAUGAUUGGCUUAUCACAUAUCGACUUUUAAAUAUACUAAUCUACUAGUCAACCAAUAAGAUAUCGGUUGGUUCGGUUUGAAUUAGUAAUUAUCGGACGAUUAACGAGCGAUGUAUUGGAUCAAUCAUUUCAUACUCUCUUCUUUCACUUUCACAAUUUCACUAACAAAUAUAUUGAUUUCCCACAAAAAUCAUUUUUCCUACUCUGCUUAAGCUUAUAAUUCUGUAAUUUAAAUCAUAAUAAAAAAUACAUAAAAACUUAGAUUUUUAGGGUGAAUACACAUAAGCAUUUAUUUAAUAAAGAUUAACCAAAAUAUACUUUAAGUAUACAUAUUUAUAUAUUAGAAGUGAACACUAGUCCAAUAUGGUCCAAACUCCAGACUAAAGAGCUAGUAGAUUUGUAAGAAUUUGAACUCACAAAUUGUAUCAAGUCAUAUAACUAUGAUGACUAUGAGCUAGCUAAUAAAAUAUAUAGCUCUCUCGUCAUAAUCGAAAGUCCAAAAUAGCGAGUAAAACAAAUUGUUUUGGUUUGACCUUUAAGGAGCGACGUUUUAGUUUGAUCAAUUUUAAGGAGCGGUAAAAUAUUAAAUAGAGCUCUAGAAUUAAUAAUAGGUACUUUAAAGUAUAUAACUAACGAUAAAAAUUAUUUAUAAUACUCCUUCCUUUUUGUAUUAGUUGGCUCCUAUAAACUUGGCACACCCAUUAAUAAAAACAUUUACUAGGGGUCUACUUUACCAAAUCAGUCUUAUUAAUUAUGCUUUGAAAAUAUAAAUUUGAAAUAUACAAUUUGUUUAGUCAUUUAAUGACAGAAGUAUUAUUGAAAGAACAUAUUAAAAGCUUUUUGAUUUCAUCAAUGGAACAAUUAAAUUGAAACAAAUAUUUUUAGAAAGAAGGUCAACUAAAAUGAAACAGAGAAAGUAGUUUUUAAUGGUUAACAAUUUACUCAAUAAGAAAGUUGAGUAAUUCAUUCCCACACCGAUAAAUCAUUAACUAUAAAAAUUUAAUUUGUUUCCCCGUCAUUAAUACCAUUAAGCCAAUAAGUUAAUUUUGCGGUUGGCUUAUCAAUUGCGGUUCGAUUUUAAACAGCCCUACUACAUAUGCCUCUAUUUUUAUCAUAUACUCCUUUUGUUUCAUAUAAGUUGGCCCCUAUAUAUGUACUUGACACACCCAUUACAAAAAAAAUUAUUAGUGGUUAUCCAUUUACCAAAUUAGCCUUAUUAAUUAUGUUUUAAAAAUAUAAAUUCAAGUUUAUACACUUUAUUUAGUCAUUAAUGAUAGGAGUGAUGUCAGAAGAAUAUAGUUAUAUUCUCUUGAUUUUAUAAAAGGAACAAAUAAAUUGAAACAAAAUUUUUUAGAAAGAAUGUCAAUUAAUACGACACGGAGAAAGUAAAACUCACUGAUUAUGUGAGUUAUUCAAAUAUAGAAUAAGUGGAAAAAAGUGAGUUAUUCCUUUAGUUCCUAGAAUAGCUAUAUUCUUUCGAUACUACCCCGAUCAUUAAUGACUAAAUAAAGUGUAUAAACUUAAAUUUAUAUUUUCAAAGCAUAAUUAAUAAGGCUAAUUUGGUAAAUAAUCCUAAUAAUUUUUUUCUUAAUACGUGUGCUAAGUACAUAUAUAAGGGUCAACUUAUACGAAGCAAAAGGAGUACAUGAUAAAAAUAGAGGCAUAUAUAAGUUUAUAAGAUAAAGAUAUAUCUAAAAAAAUAAUUACUGAUCUUUAUAAAAUCACAUAAUUAGUGAGCUUUCAAAAAUUAAAAUAAUUUUUUUAAAACAUAAACAUGUCAUUUAAAAAUAAAAUAAAAAAUUUAAAAGAUAAAUUGAUUGCUCACAUAAUAUGCAAGUUUUAUAAAAAAAAAAUUCAUAAAUUAUAAAAAUAAAUAUAACUCAUUUAAAAAGUGAGUUGUGUAUAAAACCAAAAAGUAUAACUUGUAUAAAUCAAAAAGCAUAACUCACUUAAAAAGUGGGUUAUAUAACUUUCAUAGUAUAACUUACCUUUUUAGUGAGUUAUGUAGAAAUAAAAUGAAUAACUCACUUUUUCAGUGAGUUAUGUACUUUACUAUCGUUAAAAAAAUUGAUAUAACUCACUUAAAAUGUGAGUUAAGCAUAUUUUCGUCACAUUUUAUAUACAUGACAUAUUUUAAUAUUUUUUUUAGUUUCAUGACCUAUUUUGAUUCCGAACUUGAAUAUGUAAGAAGAUGGUACUUUCCUAUAUUAGAAUCAUUAUCCUUUUAAGUAUUCAUUUGAUUGAGAAAUAAAUUAUUACAAAAUAUUAAUUUCAAAAUUAGCUAUUUAAAAGUAAUUAUUUUUAUUUUUGAAGAAUUAAAAAUAACAUUAUAAUUUCAAAAUGAGUUAUUUUAUAAAUUUUUACAACUGAAUAUAAGAUAAAUUUAUCUUACAAUUAAUUUUAAUAUUAGUUAUCUUUUGUCCCUCCCGUCAACUGACCUAUAAUAAUGGGCUUCCCUUUUCGUUUUACUUUGAUUCCUACGCUAAAAUUAGCUAGCAAUUUUUGAUAGUUAUUUUUCAAUGGAGUUUCACUAUAUAUUUGGUCAUAGAAUUUUAAAAAUAUAUCAUACUUUUAAACUUAUGAAGAAGUUUAUUUUGGCUCAAAUACUAAUAUUUUUUAAUAUGUAAAAAUUUAAAUUAUUUUUCAAAAAUAUUUAUCAAAUAAUAAUAAGUACAACCACACUCUUUGAUAAAUUCUUUUCUAAAAACUAUUUGAAAAAUCUUUGGCCAAAUCGGUCGUAGCACUUCGUCCGUCCCAAAUCGUAGGCAAUUAUUUAAUUAGGUAAGAAGUUUAAAAAAUACUAAAUUAUCUUUGUUAAAAUAUUUUAAUGCUUUUUUUUUUGUUGAUUUUUUUUUUGUUAAGUGGAAUCGAUAAGCAUAAAUAAACAUGAAUAGCGUAAUUUUUUUGUUGAUUUUUUUUUUUAUUUAGUGGCAUCAAUAAGCAUAAAUAGCGAUUAUAUCAUCAAAUCGUUGACAAAUAAGUAAAAGUAACAUUCUUUGAACGAAUUAAAAAAAAAGGGUAUCAUAUAAAUUGUCACGAGAAAUAGUUUCAAUUUAUGUGUAUAAUUUUUGAAUUAAGAGUUUUUGUUAUAUUUUUUUCUUUUUAUAUAUAGUAUUAAAUAACUAUAUAAAGUAAGAAUAUUUAAAUUUAAAAUUUUAAAAUUUAAUUGAUAAAAUUAAUUUAAUAAAAUAUAUAUUUUUAAUCAAAUUUUCGUAAUGAACGUAUCAAAUCAAUAGCAAACCAAAAAAAUUAAACUGAAGGAAUAGUUGCUAGUGUUGUACUCGGAGAGCUUAAUAGUUAUGGCUGAUUACCAAUAUGAGUUGUGGUGCAACGGAUGGGGUUGUUCCACCCUUAACCAGAGGUCGAGGGUUCGACCCUGGGCAUGGAAAAAACUCUGUUGGGAGCACUACCCCGAAUAGGGCCCUACCCGACGCGAAUCCGGAUUAGUCAGGCUCCAAUAUAGAUACCCGACACUGGAUGAAACCCCCCACCCCCGUAAAUUAAAAUCAUUAUCCUUCAACUAGUUGAGUUAAUGGUCAAAAGAUCCUUUGAGUUGUAAUUUUGUCAUUUUUUUACGAAUUUCGCAAUUAAUUAUCAUUUUUUCAAAAUUUAAAUUGUCAGUUUUUACAUAUCAAAAUACACUUCGAAGUUAGAAGUGAUUAAGCCGAUCAUUAAAUUUUUCUUUUGGGAAAAUUUCAACAUACUUAUGCUCAUAAUUAAGAUUUUUAUAGCAACAAUUUCAUAAUUACGAAAAAUAGCAAGUUGUAUUUUAUAUUUUAGGUAAAGUUUACUAUAUAACAUAUACAAACGAAAUUGCAUUCUUUCUUUUACUCAAAUCAGUUGAGUUAAAUAAGGAAUAAUUAUUCCAUGUAUUUAAAUUUAAAGCAGUAAAUUAUUUUUCCAUAAAUUAGUAGUAGAUUCCUUUUAUACAAAAUUACUAAACUAGUAGUUUCCUUUUCCAAAUCAAACUCAAUUCUAAAGAUUAUUAUCUCUAUGAGCUUCAAAAUUUUAAAAUAAAGCAUAUUACUGUUUUUUCCCCCUCUUUCUCUCUCUUAUAUAUCUAACUUUUUUUUUUGGUUAGUUUUUUUCAUUUUCUCCUUUUUAUCAUUUUAUUUUUAAAAAAAAAAUUGAUUUUUUUUCUUUUUAAUUUUUUCUUUCCACUUUAUUUUCUUUUUCAUUUUCUUAUUUUUCUCUUUCUCAUAUUUUUCUUUUUCUUUUCCUAUUUUCAUUUUCUUCUUCUUUUUUUCUAUUUUUUUCGAUUUUAUUUUUACACUUUUAUUUCUAACUUCUAUUUCUCUCUUUUUUCCCUUCUUUCACUUCGUUUUUUUUUGGAUUUUUCCUUUUCAUUUUUUUAUUUUUUUAUUUUUUUUCAUUUUUUUCACUCUUCUACAUCUACCUUUUAUUUUUCUUUCUAUUUUUUGAAUUAUUUUAUUUUUCAUUUUCUUUUGGUUUCUAUUUUAUAUUUUCUAUAUCACAUAUACAUAGACACACAGAUCUGCAUAUAUAUUUACAGGAUAAAACACACACACAUAUAUAUAGUUGUACUUAUAUUUACAGAAAUACAUAUCUGACUCAUAUGUAUAUAUACACAUAUAGGAUACAAAUCUCCAUAACAAAAAGAACAAUUAUAUACAUAUAUAUAUAGGUAAUCAAAAAAUGCAUGAUACAUAUCUUAAACGUAUAUCUUAAACAGUAAAAAAUAUAAAUAAAUACAUAUGUUAUUCUCUAGAAUCCCAUAGAACAGUUUAAAGACAAAUUCAACACCGUAUGAAAAUACAUAUGAAUAUGAAUUUGUAUAUACAAAAUAUAAAUAUAUGUACAUACCCAAAAAAAUUAUAAUACAUUUGUGACAUACUACAUCUGUCUAAUGGCGUUUGAACUACACACUUCUUCUUCUUUAUGUAAACACCACAAAUAUUCUUAUAACAUAAAAUCUUGUGUUGCCCCUUUGAUAACAUCGCCUUAAUGCGUUCUUCAAUAUCAUUGACUGUGUGACAUCCUAUAUGUGGUGCAAACCUUAGAAGUACUCUUGCCAUAUGUUUUCUUUCACAUAAUACAUAUUACAUUACAAAAAAGAAAUACAUAUAGUUCUGCAUAUGUAUUUACAGAAUACAUGUCUGGUCCAUAUGUAUAUUACCAUACAAAAAAUAUAAAAUAUGACUCUGAUAUGUAGUUCCGAAAUACUUAUCAGAUUCAUAUUAAACAGUAACAAAUAUAACUAUACUAUAUAUCUUCAUAUGUAUUUGCGAAAUACGAAGGUGACACAUACAACAAUAAAAUACAAAUUCAUAUCUUAAACAGUAACAAAUACAACUCUGUAUAAGUAACAAAUACAACUCUCUACAAGGUGACACAAAAAAAUCCUUUUCAAUUUUCAUCUCUGUUUCCUCUGUAAUCAUCUAAGCAUUCACUUCAAGUUUAGUCUGUUUGUCUUGGCAGACAGUCUCUUCCCGAUGCUCCAGAGCUGUGAAAUUGCCGGAGCGGUCUUCUUUCUUUCAACAUUAGGACUUGAAAUUUUACUUGAUUCUCCGAUUUCUUUUUAUUUUUUUCCUCAGAUUACUUGAAAUUACCGAUUGCUUGAUGUAUUUUUGAGAAUUUUGGAGAUGAAGUUUUUUAAAAUUCUUUUUGUUUUAUAAUUUUGGUCAUCAUCUCCGAAUAAUUAUGAUUCUUCGACCUUACAAGUCAUAAAAUAAAAAAUUUCUCAAAAAAAACCGGCAAGAACAAUGGAGAACAAAAAUAAUAUAAAAAUAUAAAAUAUAUAGAAUAUAUGGAAGAGAUAACAUACAAUAACUGUAAAUUGAUACUUACCUUAUUUUAUGGAGCACAAUCUCUAUCUAUAAUGUGGGAAAAAUAUGAGAAAAAGGUAAAAAAUUUGGAAUGAAAAUUUGCAAAAUAUGUUGUAUUUGAAAAAUAAAUAAAUGAAAGGUAAAGUAAGAUAGGAAAGAGGUAAAAUGUUGGAGUGAAAAUAGGAGAAGUUACCAAGAAACAAGCGUGUGUGCAGUGUCCCACCAAAAUAAUGCUACUUUUGCUAUAAACUAUAAUUUUGCCAAAGUGUUGCUAUUUAUUAUAAUUAUAAUCUUAAGUAUAUCAUUUUCUGUCAAUUUUUUUUUUUAUGUUGAUAUUAUCAUCUAUUUAGGCUGCAUUUAUUUUUAUUAUAAUGCAGAUAUCUAAAUCUGAAUGAUUAAUACAUUGCCUCUAGAUUUGGACACUAAAUAAUUAAGUCUAUUUAUUUUUUAACAUGUAUGUGUAUAAAUUAUUUAUACGUAAGUAUAAUAAAUAUACAAUUCAAAUAAAAUAAUAAAAUAUUAUACAAUAAAAUAUUUUAAAAAACUUAAUAUAAACAAUAGGAAAUUGUUACUUGAUAAGAAAAAAUAUUUAAGUAUAUCAAUUUCAAAAAAUUACAUAUCAUAGAUAAUAUAGUUAAUAUUAUCUAGAUUACAAAUAACUAUAAAGCCUCUGGCAGAAAUGCAAGGUACGGCUGCGUACGAUACACCCUUGUGGUGGAGCCUUUCCCCGAACACCACACAUAGCGGUAGCUUUAAUGCACCGGGCUGCCUUUUUACAAAUAACUAUAAAAUUAGUGAAAGAUAUAGUGAUAACUAGGCCUAAGAAUGACGAGAUGACAAAACUCAUAUAUAAUUACUAGUUAUUAAUAGCCCAUGCAAGGCACGGGCCCAAUAAAUAUUUUUUUAAAAUUUAUUUUAAUUAUUGUGAUUUAUAAUAUUUUUUAAAAAUAUAUAAUAGAUUUUUUUAUAGAUAUUUUAAGUUGUUAAUUAUUGUAAUUUAUAAUACUUUUUAUGUAAUUUUCAAAUAAUAUAUAUCGCUCCCGUUGUCCAAACUUUUGUGACAUUGAUUAUCAAUUAUAUUUAUUAAAUAAUUUAAGGUUUAAAUUAUUGUGAUGUAUAAUAUUUUUUUUUCUAUUCUAAUUUAAUUGUCAUAAUGCUUAGAUGAACAUAAUAAUUAAUUAUGAAUGAUAUGGUAAGGUUACGAUUGAAGCAGCGAAAUAGACAUGUUUUAAUGACUCAUAACAACUAAUUAGAAGUGAUAUAGCAAAAUUACUGUAAAAAAUACUUGUGAAUUUUUUUUGAUUAACUUGUCAUUUUAUAUCUAUUUUACCCUUUUAUCAAAUAUUAUUAAUUGAUACAAUGCUUAAAUGGUCAUAAUAAUUAAUUAGGAAUGACAUAGUAAAAUCACAAAACAACGAAAUAGACAUGUCUAAUUAGAAGUGAUACAAUAAAAUUACUAUAAAAAAUACUUACGGAAAAAAAUUAAAUGGAUCUCAUAUAAAAUGUCAAGUAAAUUUAACUUUAAAUAUUAUUAAUUUUUUAAUACUUAAAUAACUUUAUAAUAAUUUUUUAAUAUUUAGAUGACUUAUAAUAAUUAACUAUGGAUGAUACAAUCAAAUUACAAGUGAAGUAGCUAAAGCAGACAUGUCAUAAAUAUCUAUUUUAUUUUUUUAUUAAAUAUUAUUAAGUUUCUAAUACAUAAAUAACUUAUAAUAAUUAAUUAGAGAUGACAUAAAAAAAUUACGGAUGAAGUAACUUAUAAAGCAGGCACGUUGACAAAGACCCGCUUACUUCUUGUCAUUCCCUCUUGUAACUUAUAAGAUAUAUAUAAUAAUACUAGAUGUAGAAACCCGCGCUAACACAGGCCCAAUAAUAGCGAUCUAGCUAUUAGUUUUGUAUGUUUAAUCAGAAUUAUAUCAGAGUUUUUACAAAGAAAGAGUCCCAAUUCAGCUGAAUUUGCAGAAAUGUUGAAAAAUCCACUAUCGCAACUCAACUCAAUUUGCAUAAAUAUAUUAAAACGCACCAAAAUAACACAAUUCUGAUCAAUUGUAGCUCUUUUAAACUACAGUUUGUAAAUUACAAAUUACACACACUGCUAAAACAUCAAUAUUAUCUCCCAGCUCCCAAUACUCGGAACUAUGGCGGCAAAGUUCGAGCCCUUUGAGCUUUUCGGUAGCUUCAGAGUUCCACUUCUUGCCCUGAAUUCCCACCUUCGGGCUAUUCCCCUGAGAAAGCAUAAUACUGUGAAGGUAGUACUGGAAAAGCAUCAGCUCUUACAACUAGUUGUUAGAGUAAAAAAGAUCCACAAUUCAAAUAAACUACUCGUCAUACAAUAAACUACUAUAUAAGAACUUCACUAUCCUCUCAUUUUCAAUUCAUUUUGCUUACUUUUCUCAUUAGUCCGUUUAAAAGAACAGUAUAUAUAAAACUUUAUUUAGUUGAUUUAUUUAAAUAGCAGGAGAUAGGCUAUUUAAUAUUGCUUAUAGAUAACAAGCCUAACAUGUAAACGAAGAAUAUAAAUGAACUAUGAAACGUAAUAUGAACGAAUACGAGUUCAUCGUAAUCUGAUAGCUUACCUAACAUAUCAUGUUGAAAUGAAUUCGCGCAAACAUGCCCUCUAUUUAGCUCCCUUGGACUUGUUUGUUGCGACUUUUGUGGCAUGCUUCGUCCUGGUUGAGACGAAGUUGAAUCACGAUAAUAUAUAUAAACAAAAUCAAGUGUAAGAAUGAAAUGGUUGCCAGUCUUUGGUGUAAAUCUGGAGGACAUUGGUGUAUUUGCUUGUCUUGGGUGGCCUCUGUUGGUUACCACAGAGGAGUUGCAUAAGGUUAAGGGUGGGCAAAGCAACAAAUCAAAACGGUAUUCCUCUGUUUCUUAAAGUUGUAAUUUGGAGACAUCAUUAUCUGCGCAAAAUGGCCGUAGCAAUUAAGAUUCAGAAUUAUAACAUACAAGACACAGUGAGAAUAUUAAAAAAAAGGAAUCAUAAACUCAUUAACAUGCUAACCUUUGCCAUUAAAUGAAAAGAUCAUCAAUCACUCCAAAACAUACAUGCCACGCCAAGCUUGUGAAAUUCAGGGAGUUGAUGUAUGUCGUCUCUAAAAUUGUGACUCAUUCUUUCCAAAGUCGAAAAAUGAUUAAUAAGAACCACAAAUGAAAUCAUAAACACUCUAAUAUAGUCCAUUUAUCCUUGCAACAGACACUAUCAAUUUUAAAAAUCAUUGGACAAAGAUUUUUGUUGUACAAAAUUUACUUUAGAGACACAAUUCAUUUUGUCUAAAACAUUCAAAUCUGCAAAGCAAAACCUGUCAUACUACAGAAAAAUCUCAAAUCUGCACAAAGAUGAACAAAUACAUAAGUCCACUAAUUGUAAUACUUAGAACUUGAAGAAAUGAUGAAUGUUCUAUGCAGCUAGCGAAUUGAUACGGCGUAGGAGCAAGGUAAUUGAAGUAAGCAAUGACAAAGUGCUAGUAAAAUACCAAGCCAUGAUCUUUGAGGGAAAAUGAACUGAGAAGCCCUCAACCGUGAAGCAGUUUCGAGUUUCACAACAAAUUUGAUUGUGUAAUCUGCAAGAUAUGAGCUAUUUUGAAUGACUAAUAAUGAAAACUAUGGAAGAAGUACAUACACCUUACCCUGCCUAGACCCCACUUUGUGGGAAUACAUUGGGUAUGUUGUUGUUGAAGUUAGCAAAAUAAAUUUUCGAAAGCUGAUCAACGCCCAGGUAUUACCACAAAGAAGUACUAUACUUCGAUCUAUUUAAAACAUAUACAAGAUAUUCCAUUUCUCUAAUCAUCCUGGUCAUAUGUUAAUAAAUAUAAAUCACUGGUAUAUAGUUAUCUACCACUGAUAUAAGAGCACCAUAUACUCAAAAUAGAAAGUAAUUUCUGUAAAUAUACAAGCAUAAAGGAUGAUAGGUGAAAACAAGGGAAAAAUAUACUUUCAACUGAACUUGCAAAACUUUUAAGCUGAAUGAAAAAUAAGAUUUUAGUUGACACAUACACAAGGUCAUCCGUUUUUCUUUUCUCUUCUUGUUUUGAACUGUUAAAGUAGUAAUUCUAGUAAAAACAGGAAACUGGUACAAAGUUGAUUCCAGGGAAUUGCACCGAGACGUGGACAAGGUCAUUCUAAUAAUGGAUACUGGAACUGGAAAUCACAAAGC